rnacentral:lncRNA from 1 species
UGGCGAUCGCCUUUUGCGCCAUGGCGCGAGGCGCACUCAGGCGAUGGCUCUGUCGCCAUGUACCUCCUAGGCGAGGGUGGGUUCCGUAAGGCGCACGCCAUGGGUGCCUUGUCGAGAAGGCGAGCAUGUCCAAGGCGAGCGUAAGGCGAGAUUAAUGUAAACCGUAUCUAAACCAGGUAUGAAACCAAGCCUUAAUUAAUAAUUAAACCUAAGACUUCAAAAAAACUUACCGUCGGGGAAACUUAAACGCCUAAAUAACAAUGAGAACCCUAGCUUUAUAAAAGAGAAGUUACGUAAAACAUAAACAUAAAUCUUAAGGUUUUUUGUCUAAGGUUAGAACUCUCUAAUCUCUACUCUUUCCAAUCUCGUUUAUGCUUAUUCUUCUUAUAGAUUCAUGUGUUCCUUUGUCACAGAUUAGAACGUACUGCGGUUGCUUCGGUCGGAGUUAACACACACGGUUAGUCUUUUACUCUCUGCACUUUCUUUUUUUUUUUGUUCUCUUUUUUGUCUUCAUUCUGUCUCAUUUUUGGUCAGUGAUCACAGUCUAGUUAUGGAUCAUAACUUAUGAUCAGUAUGGUUUUUUUUAUUUUGAUCACAGUUUUAUUAUGAUAUUAUCUUUUGGUUUCUACAUUUGAGAUUUUGUUUUUGGGUUUUCUUUUUGAAUAAUUUUGUUUUGGUUUAACUAUCUUCGAAUAAUAAAGCUUGCAACUUAUUUAAAUUAGUGUAUCAAUCAUUGCAUAAGAGUUUUCUACGUUUCUUCUCCAAUACAAAACAAAACAAGACGUAACUAAAAUGCUGUAACUAAAAAAAAAAAAAAAAAAUGUCGUAACUAAAAUGUUCUUCAAGGCGAGCGCCAUAUUGCGCCAUGGCGCGAGGCGCAAGGCUCGGCACGUCUCGCUUUGGUGCCCCAUGCGCCAUUUUAAACAUAGAUUUUUCAUCAAUUAACAUAACCACACCAGAAGCAUUCCCCUUGGACACUAGACCACGCGCAAGAGCCUCGCUUGAACAAUCAAACGAUACAAAACUUAAGAUAAGAAAGUCACACAAACGCAGCAGAACCUAUACACAUCAGGACAAAGUAGACUCACAGGUAGCCGAGAGAAUGAAUUGAAUGGUCGAGCUGUUCAAGAUGAACAUCCGAGCUGCCAAAGUUCACUAAAAGACAGAAUUUUCAAGAAAUAAGGAUACACAUCUAACAAAUUGAUACAAAGUGACAAUAAAGAUUUACCCUUUUCGCUUUCAUCAAGCUCUGGAUCAUAAUCGGGGUCUCCAUCGACAUCAUUUGAGUCGGAGGAACUCGUGGAAUCUUCUUCGCCUCCAUCCUCAGCCGCCUCGUCAACGCCUCCAUCCUCAGCCGCCUCGUCAACGCCUCCAUCCUCGUCCACCUCGUCAACGUCUCCAUCCUCGUCCGCCUCGUCAACAACAUCCUCGUCGGCGCCCCCGUCGUCUUCUGCGGGACGAAUCAGAUAGUGUACGACACAGAACUGGUUGUCACCGCGGUGGUGAUUCCGUCGGCAAAACAAAUCGCCUUCUGGCCUCUCCAUAGUCGCUUCCGUACGAGUGACCUGAGCCCCUUGUACAGGUGGUCCUGAUCUGCAGUUCUUUCUUCUUGUCUCUUCCACGUCGUCCCACCCAAAGCGAUCUCUGAAGCGACGGGCGCGGUAGAGAAAUAUGCCCUCCUCUAGCGGUUCUGGCCCCAACGCUAUAAGGCUCUUAGGGAGGGGGAUAGUUGCAUGCCUGUCGUAGAUCGCCACAAGAUCGUCUUGAUUUAGCCAAUCGAGCGUGGAUCUCUGGAAAACUUCUUCGAUGCCGUCGUCAAAGUUCGUCCUGAAGAUUCGUCGCCGCCAUGAUCUUUCGGAGCGGGAGACUGAAACUUUCGAUUAGGUUACAAUUGAUUUUGGUUCCGGUUCGAUUUUACGAGUGUUUCACCGUCUUUUAUUCACUGAAAACCAGAUUAGGCUACAAAUUGAUUUUGGUUUCGGUUCGACUUUACUAAACCGGAAAUCAUAUAAUGAAUAACCGAGUGAAACAGAGAAGAGGCGCACCUCGUACGCCGCCAUUUUAAAAAAAAAAUUAAUCACUUAUAUCUUCAACAAAUUCUCAAUACCCUUCUAUAUUAUUAAAGUAUCGGCAAUUACGAAAUUGGCCUCAGAAUUCUCAAUUACAUUUUUCACUGUGUUUAAAAUGGCGAUCGCCUUUUGCGCGAGGCACACUCAGGCGAUGGCUCUGUCGCCAUGUACCUCCUAGGCGAGGGUGGGUUCCAUAAUUGCAUAUACUUUAAUAAAAUAGAAGGGUAUUGAGAAUUUGUAGAGUAUAUAAUUGAUUUAAAAUUUUUUUUAAAGGGCGUAAGGUGAUGCCUCUUCUUCGUUUCGCUCGGUUAUUCAUUAUAUGAUUUCCGAUUUAGCAAAGUCGAACCGGAACCAAAAUCAAUUUGUAGCCUAAUCUGGUUUUCGGUGAAUAAAAGACGGUGAAACACUUGUAAAAUCGAACCGGAACAAAAAUCAAUUGUAACCUAAUCAAAAGUUUCAGUCUCCCGCUCCGAAAGAUCAUGGCGGCGACGAAUCUUCAGGACGAAAACUUUGAUGAUGACAUCGAAGAAGUUUUCCAGAGAUCCACGCUCGAUUGGCUAAAUCAAGACGAUCUUGUGGCGAUCUACGACAGACAUGCGACUAUCCCCCUCCCCGAGAGCCUUAUAACGUUGGGGCCAGAACCGCUGGAGGAGGGCAUCUUUCUCUACUUCGCCCGUCGCAUCAGAGAUCGCUUUGGGUGGGACGACGUGGAAGAGACAAGAAGAAAGAACUGCAGAUCAGGACCACCUGUACAAGGGGCUCAGGUCACUCGUACGGAAGCGACUAUGGAGAGGCCAGAAGGCGAUUUGUUUUGCCGACGGAAUCACCACCGCGGUGACAACCAGUUCUGUGUCGUGCACUAUCUGAUUCGUCCGCAGAAGACGAUGGUGGCGCCGACGAGGAUGUUGUUGAUGAGGAUGGAGACGUUGACGAGGCGGACGAGGAUGGAGGCGUUGACGAGGCGGUUGUGGAUGGAGGCGAAGAAGGUUCCUCCGACUCCGAUGAUGUCGAUGGAGACCCCGAUUAUGAUCCGGAGCUUAAUGAAAGCGAAAAGGGCAAAUCUUUAUUGUCACUUUGUAUCAAUUUGUUAGAUCUAUAUUCUUAUUUCUUGAAAAUUAUGUGUCUUUUAGUGAACCAUGGCAGCUCGGAUGUUCAUCUUGAACAGCUCGACCAUUCAAUUCAUUCUCUCGUCUACUUUGUCCUGAUGUGUAUAGGUUCUGCUGCGUUUGUGUGACUUUCUUAUCUUAAGUUUUGUAUCGUUUGAUUGUUCAAGCGAGGCUCUUGCGCGUGGUCUAGUGUCCAAGGGGAAUGCUUCUGGUGUGGUUCUGUUAAUUGAUGAAAAAUAUGUGUUUAAAAUGGCGAGACGUGCCGAGCCUCGCGCCAUAGCGCAAUAUGGCGCUCGCCUUGAAGAACAUUUUAGUUAUGUUUUGUUUUGUAUUGGAGAAGAAACGUAGAAUUAUGCAAUGAUUGAUGCACUAAAUUUAAAUAAGUUGCAAGCUUUAUUAUUUGAAGAUAGUUAAACCAAAACAAAAUUAUUCAAAAAGAAAACCCAAAAACAAAGUCUCAAAUGUAGAAACCAAAAGAUAAUAUCAUAAUAAAACUGUGAUCAAAGUAAAAAAAACCAUACUGAUCAUAAGUUAUGAUCCAUAACUAGACUGUGAUCACUGACAAAAAAUGAGACAGAAUGAAGACAAAAAAGAGAAAAAAAAAAAAAGUGCAGAGAGUAAAAGACAAACCAUGUGUGUUAACUCUGACCAAAGCAACCGCAGUACGUUCUAAUCUGUGACAAAGGAGCACAUGAAUCUAUAAGAAGAAUAAGCAUAAACGAGAUUGGAAAGAGUAAAGACUAGAGAGUUCUAACCUUAAGCAAAAAACCUUGAGAUUUAUGUUUAUGUUUUACGUAACUUCUCUUUUAUAAAGCUAGGGUUCUCAUUGUUAUUUAGGCGUUUAAGUUUCCCCGACGGUUAAGUUUUUUUUAAGUCCUAGGUUUAAUUAUUAAUUAAGGCUUGGUUUCAUACCUGGUUUAGAUACGGUUUACAAUAAUCUCGCCUUACGCUCGACUUUUAACAUGGUGCGCGCCUUACGGAACCCACCCUCGCCUAGGAGGUACAUGGCGACAGAGCCAUCCGCACUCAGGCGAUCGCCAUUUUAAACACAGUGAAAAAUGUAAUCUUUUCUCGUCUCUGUCUGUGUGUUUUAUGUUUUAGAGAGAUUAUGAUGAUGAUGAUGUUGUUGUUUUGAUUCUUGCAGUUGUUACUCUUUGUAAGAGAUUCAAAGACAGAGUUUUGGAGCUUAAGGAUCCGAUAAGAGGGGUGGCGCCACUGGUGUCAGCUGUUCGCAAGGUUCAGGUCUCUGCUAAUUGUUCGACUGUAUUGCAUCCGGAUUGUCUUCAGCUAUGUCUCCAGGCCAAGUGCUACAAAGCUGGUUAUGAGUGAGCCUCUUUUCCUCUUUGCUAUAUCAGUUUGAUUGUUUCAGUCGAUGAUUAUGUCACAGCAUUAGUCCACCCGUUUGAUUCUCGUCCUUGAUCCCUAUGUUAAUAUAUCAAAAGCAACUUUCUUAUAAUAUUCUCUGCACUUUUGACAGUGGAAUGAAUGGCAUUGGACUGAAGAGAUUCCAGAAGACAUCGGAGCUUCAUUACAAUGUAAGGCAUUCUAUUUUACCUUUUUCACAUGUUGCUAGCCUUCAUGGACUUUUACAAUCGGAGCUUCAUUACAAUGAUACUCCAUACCUGUACAAGCUUAUGACUUUAUGAUUCUCCUUUCUCAGCCUUACUACGAAGUGGGUAAUCGUUAUAACGAUGGGAAGAUCAGUGAACUAGAGGCAGUGGUUGUGGCCCAGAGCUCAGAUCUUGAACAGGUAAAUCUCCCCUAGACACGAACUGUAAUAUCUCACUGGUAUUAAUCUUCAUUCAUCCUAUAACACGCACUGAUUAAUCUUCAUCAUCCUAUUUCUCAGGAUAAGGACACUGGAUUAGUGAAGCAAGCAGUGUCAUCCCUUUACAAGCGCAACAUACUGGGAUUGACUCACAAGUACUUGACCUUGUCGCUUCAAGAUAUUGUCAACAUGAUGGUCCAAACUGCUAAUGCUAAGGAGGCGGAAACGCAUGUGAUUCAGAUGGUAGUGUAUUCUGUGUGUCCCACACUUUAUUUUUGGAAGCUAGCUAUUUAACUAGAAGUGCUGUUAUAUGCAGAUACAGGAUGGUCAGAUACAUGCUCUUAUCAACCAGAAAGAUGGAAUGGUGAGAUUGUUGGAGGACCCUGAGCAGUACAAAACCAGUGAGAUGAUAGAGGUCAUGGUUUCUGUCAUCCAAAGGUAUGUCUAUGAACCAAAUUCGUUGCUGACUUUUUCGUUACUUCGAUUCUUCUUUGUUUCCGAGUCCCCGUAAUAAGCUGCAUUUGGAAUGUCAAAUUGAUAGAGAAUUGGAUUAUUUAGCCAGGGUAGAGUGUUAGAGUUAAACACAGCUCUGUGUGUGUUUAUGUGAUGUUUCAGGACAAUUGGGCUGUCGAAGAAUCUGCUAGCCAUGGAUGAGAGUUUGUCAUGUGAUCCUUUAUACUUGGGAAAGGUAACGUAGUGCCAUGUUUCAUAUAGACUGUUCUGUUCUCGCCUUUGUUUGAGAACUGUCAACAAACUAGUGAAUAAACGAGACGAGGACUCGUCAGUGGGGUUAGGAGAAGUCUUCAUGCUGAGCUUGAACCGGAUGGAGACGACUCGAAGAAAACGGUCAAGUGACGACUCUUCGGUCGAGUGAGGACUCGUCGGUCAAGUGAGGACUCGUCGGUCGAAGUACGGUCGAGUGACGAGAGAAAGAUUUGCGCUUGAAUGAACGAGACGAGGACUCGAAGAGAAUAAGACGAGGACUCGAAGAGAAUAAGAAAAAGGUGUUUAAUGAUCAAGCUGGACCCAGUGAAGGGUUGCCUACGUACCUUGAAAGGGGAUCAAGCCAAUCGUAGUUCUACAACAAAGGAUCACAAGUGCUUAGGUGAAAGCAUGUGGAAAGGUGUUUCUCUCUCUAGAAGUAGAGAGAGAUGGAUGAGAGACCAAAAGAGAGUCCAAGAUAGCCCUCUCAAAGGAGGUUGACUCCUUAUUUAUAGAAAGGAGAGGUCUAGGGUUUCCUAGUGACCCCCAUUUUAAAUGGGCUGAGCCCAUUAUCUUAUAAGCCUUGUUGGGGACAAAGUCCAUGUCCAACAGCCUUGAACCUUAGUUCGCAGACUAAAACCUUUGAAAACUUUUUUUAUCUCAGGUUGGAAGGGAAAGUCAAAGGUACGACUUCGGAGACGAUUUUGAUACUGCCCCUCAGAAGUUCUCCAUGUAAACAGCGAAAUAACCUGAAGGAGAGCAAAACUUGUCUCAAACUCUUGUUGCGAGAAUCUUCUUUUUUGCUGUUCUUUGUUCUUUUAUGAACUUUCAUAUAUUCGUUUGUUAUCGGUUUAGAUAGUCCUAAACCGAUAUUACAUUUGUACAGAAAACAUAACCCAACAUUCUUUUGUACCGAACCAAUAUAACCGAAAUUCAUAGAAAAUUAAUAUUUUUAGUUAUAUUGACUGGCGGUCUCGACCAAACAAAGAAGUUAUAUUGACUGCGGUCACAUUUAAUUUUACUAAUGAGUUAAGUGCGAAAGAUUUAGUUCAUUGGGUUUUGCUUAAUUUCUGCGACUUAUUGGCCCAGACGGUUCAGAUCAAAUCGAUGUGUGUGAAAUCUUUCACUGCGACUGUUUAUUGUUAUGCAUCCCCAAAGGUCACUCCAGGCUCGUGGUUUGGAACCCGUAUUGGGGGCAAACCAGGUGGAUCGAGCACACACAUAAUUGCCACUUAGAGGACCAGUAUAGGUGUUCUUAUACGUAUGCUCUCGGUUACGACCGUAACAGUAAGUCCCACAAAGUCUUGAGAUUUAUUGAUUUUCUCUCUCAUUUUGUCGAGUUCAAAAUCUACGACUUCAGUUCUGAUUCAUGGAGCCUAUCUUUAAAGGGAAACACCUACUGGUUUGCUUCAGAAAGACAAUCUAUCAAUGGUUUCUUAGUCUGUUUCGAUUUCACAAGAGAGACAUUCGGGCCGCCUUUGUCUCUACCGUGUGAGGCUUAUUUUCAAGAUACCGUGAGUCUAUCUAGUGUUAGAGAAGAUCAGCUUGUGGUUUUAUUCCAGACCUGGGAUAUAUUGACGUUUGAGAUCUGGAUUUCCACUAAGAUUGGUGAUGACCCUAACGCCGUGUCCUGGAACAACAAGUUUUUCUUAUCGGCCAAUAUCAAACAACUCAUUCACCCUCAGUGGCAGUUUCCUGCAUCUGCGAGUUUCUUCAUUGACGAGGAGAAGAAAGUCGCCGUGGUUUUUGAUAAAGACACAGAUAUACGAAACCCCACUCGCGAAGUAGCUUACAUCAUUGGAGUAGAUGGAUCCUUGAAAGAAGCAGCAGAUGUCAGAGAAUGUGCAGACCGUUAUUGUGAUGCAUUUCUUUGCUCAUAUGUUCCAAGCUUAGUGCAACUUAAUUAAUUAGCUCCCCCACCUAUUUAUUUUACUUGUUUUGUUUCCUUCCUCAUCGAAAGACUUGUGUACUCAAUAAUACUCAUAUCUAUUUUUAAGUUCUUUUGUUUUUCAUCCUUGUUUAUGUUUUUUGCCCUAUUUUGACUUCCGUUUUCACAUCAUCUUCCUUUAGACUCAUUUCUUACCUCUGCAGGUUUGUAUGAGUGCCCUCUCUUUGUCUAAUGUUUUCAUCAUUCUAAAGGAGUAAGAAUGGUGUUUGAUGUUUUGUUGGACAAGGAAACCUUAACGGGAGACGAUUUCGAGCAAUCAUGCUGAAUACAGUGACAAGCCGUUGAAUGCCGAUGAUAGAGUUCGAGUCAAAGAUUUAAUUAGUGUGUAAUACAAAAAAAAAAAAUAAUACUUAGUGUUGGUAUUACAAACUCAAACUAGACUUCACCUAUUAAAGUUUCAAAACCGGCCAAAAAUGUCCUUGACUGCUUGGUAAGUUCCGCUUGUUUUUCAUCCUUGUUUAUGUUUUCUUUGCCGGUUUUCACAUCAUCUUCCUUAGACCAAAACUGUCCUCUCAUUUCUUACCUCUGCAGGUUUGUGUGAGUGCCUCUCUUUGGCUAAUGUUUUAUCACUCUAAAGGAGUAAGAUUGGUGUUUGCAGAGCUGUGCGAGCAUUUACGGCUGUCCAAGGCGAAUUUUUUUUAAAAUAAAAGUUUAUACAUUAAAAAUAAUAAGCACUAUGUUUCCAAAUGAUAUAAAUUUAUAUGUUUUAAUAUGUAUUAAGAAAACAUAUUAAAUAUUAUUUAUAAAUGUAAUAUUUCUUGUGUUUACCAAUUACCGAUAACUUUAUAUUAUUAGGAUUUUCAGAAUCAUUAUUAAGUUUUUUCAAUUUUGUAAUUCAUCAUUAUUAACUAAUAAAACAUGCCUAGAAAAUGUAUGUAUCUUUUUGAAAAUUUUUUGUUAUAAAACAUUAAUUAUCUUUUAAGUAAUACAUAAUGUUCAGAAAAUAAUAUCAAUACAAACUACUAUAGAAUAAAAAUAUAUAAGAAAUAAACUAACAAACGAUAUUUUAUCUAAUAUUUACGAAAUUGUUAAGAUUUUAUCCUUAAAUAUGAUAUUUUAGAUAAAAAUAAUUAAGUCACUUAAAUGUUUCAACAAAAAUAAAAUUUUAUAAUAAAAUAUUUUAGAAAAUACACCUAAAACUAUUAUUGUUAACCACUCUAACUACUCUUAUUCAUUAGUAAUUAACAAUUAUUUACAUAUUUGUUAAUUAUGUAACCCAUGUUUUCAUCAUAAUCCAUGGUUUUCUCUAUAACCUAAAUACCACUGUGAUUUCAUUGUAUAAUAUUUGUUUUUUUAUUAUUAUAUUAUGCCAUUAAUGUUUACAUAAGAUGAUGGAUGUCCUUGAAUUUUUUUAAAAGUUUGAUGCCCUAAGAGCAUGUUUAUCGCUGACUCUGAACUAAGUAUCUUAGAGCAUGUUCAUUGAAAUAACCCCUAAGUGGGCUUUUAACCAAUAUUUUAGUAUUAAAAGUAAGUCAAGAGUUUAUGCUAAGAACCACAUAAUUUUUAGUCCUCCAAUGCUAGGUUCUUAAGUUAAAAGUUCUUAAAAAAAAUUUAAAAACAUUUUUUAAGCUAAUACAACUAUGUUAAAGGUUCAUUGUCUCCUGACUUUCUCAAUUGCAUAACAAGAAAACAAAUACAACUAUGUUCAUUGUCUUGUGACUCUCUCAAUUGCAUAACAAGAGCAACAUAAAACAAAGAUCAUUUAAGCAUUACAAGUUUUUGCCAUACCGAGAACAAGAUCAACAACUUACCUAUCAAGUGAUGAAGAAACAAACCAGCUGCAACAUCACGUUCAAGCUCUCCACUCCCAUCUUCUGUAGCAGCCGCAACUUCAAACCUGUAUAUGAUAGACACAGAGUUGAAUUUGAAAUCAAACACGAUAGACACAAUUUGAACUUGAAAUCAAACACGAUAGACACAAACAUGAAUUUUAAUACUUCUGAAAAAGAAAGAAUCCAUUACAUGAUCCAUUUAAGAAACACAAAAGAGGCAACAAGAAGUAUACAAGAAUCUACAAACUCACCAUAUUUCAUUGCCAGACACGGGUCUUGCUCAUCCAUGACCCUGAUCAGUUUUGCAGGAUUUCCAGCAACCACACUUCAAGAAUCCCAAAAAAGGCUGUACAUAGUUACUAACCCACAAACAUUGAAGAUUUUUUUAGACUCACUUUCUUUUAUACCUAUGCGGAGGAACGUCCUUUAACACAAGUGAACCUGCAGCUACCAUUGCCCCAGCACCUAUGCUUAUGUUUCCAAGUACAGUCACACAGGCUCCAAGCAAUGCACCUUCCCCUAUUUUUGGAUGACGGUCGCCGGUUUCCUUCCAUGUUCCCCUAUGACAGGGAACAAGAAACACCAACUCACAUCUGCUUCAAGGAGAGCUCUUCUGAUAUCCUUCAUUGGCUCAGCAAUAUUCUCCUUCGUCAUGACAUCUGCAAGUUCAAAUAAACAUAACUAAAUUUUAACCUUACUCAUCCUCUCUGCAUCUGUUAGUGCUAAUAUUUAAUAUUGCACUGCCUAGGAGUAUAAAUUGAACGGUUUCUCACUUCUUUGUCUAAGAUACAAGUUUCUGUUUUAUGGGUCAAGAGCCAAAACUACCAAAAGCUAAUAGCUUUAGAGAUUUUUUUUUAACUAAUUAUGAUUCAUGUGUUCCAUAUGAUUCUGUAUACAAUUCACCACUCAAUUCAAAUACAAUUGGGACCAAUCGAAGCUAAAAGGUAGAUAAGCAAACAAGAGAUUUAGCGGAUAAUUUUAGAGGCAAAACUAUAUGAAAAGUGUGCCUCCACGUUUAUACACUGCGAUUCAAUCUAUGCCUCGAUGACUAGCAUUUAUUUUCGUUAUUCUUAAAAACAAGCUAAAGGUGAGUGAGGCAGUAUAACAAAAACGGUUCCUUUCCUCCCAAAAGAACAAACAAAACAAGAUACAUAAAUGUAAAAUAGAAGCUGACGAUGAGAUGAGCUUUAGAGAUUUACACGAACCUUCUCCUUUGAGUUUGGUCCAAGCAGCAUCGAGUCCACUCGUCAAUUGACAAAACAUCUCCGCCCUCACUUCAGGAGGACUCCUUGUGUAUCUUCCAUGGCCAAUUGUCUUCGAUUUCACCCAACUCCAUAACGAGAUUUCUUCUUCGACGAAAGACAACGACGAGAUUCUUUGACGCGAGCACCGAUUGAAAGAUCGAGGAAAGCACCAACUUCAUCUCGUUCGUCGACUUCGACUUUUCUUUUUCUCUCAUUACCACAAAACCAAUACCCUAGUUUAACAAGAGCCGGUUCUUCCAUGCACUAUAGUGUAUUUAGGUAUAUACACAUUUUAGUUGUUCCCAGUAAUUUUUUAAGUUGCAAUUACUAUGUUUUCCUAUUGCUUAAAUUAAAGAGAAACAGACAAAAAUAAUACUAAAUCAAGUUUUUGUUCUCAAACUAGCACUCAAGAUCUAAAAUCACAAAAAUAGCACUCAAAAACUAAAAUGAUCAAAAUAGCACAUUUCUAAGUUUAUCAUUUGAAAAUUUUAAUUUUUUUAUUUUUCAAAAUUUGAAAUCUUAUCCCCAAAACCUCAUUUCUAAACCCUAAACCCUAAACUUUAAACCCUAAACCCUAAACCCUAAAAUCUAAACCCUAAACUCUAAACCCUAAACCCUAAACCCUAAACCCUAAAUCCUAAAUCCUAAACCCUAAAUCCUAAAUCCUAAACUCCACCCUUUAACUCUAAACCCUAAGUUUGUGACUUUUGAUAAAACAUUAAGUGCUAUUUUUGUGACUUUUGACCUUGAGUGCUAGUCUGGGAACAAAAACUUGAUUUAGUACUAUUUUUGUCUUUUUCUCAUUUAUAUAUUUUACAUGUAAUUUUAAAUUAAUUUUUAACUUCAUUGUUAUAUGGCUAACAUAUUUAACUAUAUAUAAAAAAUAUUUAUCUUGCGUAUCUAAUAUUUUAUAACAAUUUAUUUUUUGGUUUAGUCUUAUAAAUUCAGUAUUCAACGGCUAAUAUAUAUAUAAUGUUUAUGUAUUUAAAAAUUAACCGCUAAAAUUUAUUAUUACACGACUAACAUAUUUAAUAACAUGUAACAAUUUAUUUAUUCAGUAUAUCUACUAAUUUAUAAUAGUUUAUUUUCGGUAUAGAUUUGUAAAUUCAUUGUUAGACGGCUAAUAUAUGUAUAAUAUUGUAUACCAAUUAAUUUUUCCAUGAUAUCAUAUCUGGAAUUAAUUCUAAUAUUUAUUUCAAUUUUAUGGACAUGUUUAUCAAAUACUCUUAAUAUGAGUUCUACCUCGCGGAGUUCAACUUUUUUGUUCCUCUUUUGUUCGAAGAUUCUUUGGGUCACUCGUUUAAGACGAUCAAUACGACUCAGUCUCAGAACUAGUUUGCGCACAAACCGAGCAAAGAUCCCGUGGCGUUUGUCCUGAAGAAAACUGUUUUUGUAUUACAUGAAAGUAAUUUCAGAAUUUAGUGAAUGUGUGUGUGUGUGUGUGAUCAACUGAUUAUAUAAACCAGUGAUUAUGUAGAUCAUUAUCUGGAACACAUCUUCUUCAAUUUUUUAGAUUCAUCAGAAAAAAAAAGAAAAAAAAACAGAGGAAGAAGAUGGGAAAGAAGGUGGGGGAAAAAGAAAACGAUAAUGAAAGAGAAAAUGAAAAUUUUAUUUACUUUUAGAAAUUGUACAAUUUUUACGGGAGGGUUCUAAAAGUAAUUGCACAUAUUAUUUAUCUACUGUAGUUCCUAAUUGAGUCUUAAUUAAGAGUCGUUCCUUAGAUAAUUAGCUAUUUUUUUUUAAUUCAUAAUUAUCCUAAGAACAUGAUUAUUGGGAGUUCUUAGAAUGAGAUUCUUACUGAAAUAUAAGAACCCGUCUCUUAACUUUUAACUAAAAAAAUUAAGAAACGGCUCUUAAAACUCUUAUUUAAGAACUAGUUCUUAUCUUUUUCAAUUAAAAGUUAAGAAACGAGUUCUUAUAUUACGAUAAUAAUCUCACCCUAAGAACCAUGCAAUAAUCAUGCUCUUGAACCAUACUUAAGAUACCCAAUAAACAUGCUCUUAAGCUAAUUACGAUUAAAAAAGAAGGAAAAAAAAAGGAAAAACACGAGAGGUGUCUCUUAAUUAAGAGAGCCAAGCUAUGUCUCUUAGGUGUGUUGUUGCUCCCCUCUCGUUUCUUCCUCUCCUGAUUGGUGUCUCUCUUGGACGAAAGAGCCACGUAUCUUGACGAGGAAGAAAAACGGCGUCUAUUCGAUCGUCUUUCAAAUUCAUCUCCGCAGAAUCCUUAACUCUUCGCAACGAUUCCAUUUCCAGAUCAGGUAGGGUUUCUGGUAAAUUUUGUAUUUUGAUCGAACAGCGUAGAUUUGUUUAAUUUAACUACUUGUUUUUGAUAAUCAACCAACGGAGCUUACUCACUACUUGUUUUCAAUUCCUGUGAUAGAUCUUGAAAGUUUAGAGCUUUAAAGCCAAUUUGCUGAUCGCUUUGUCCUGUAAACAGUUUCUGGAAAUGAGAAACAUUUACAUUUGUAAAAGCUAAGAUAACUCUCGAGGGUUUAGAGCUUUGUAGACAAUCAUAUUUUGAUAUGAUUUUCUCUGAUUAAACUUAUGUCUUUGAUUUUGGUGAUGGAUUUAGGGAGAAAGCCACUUGCUAGAUUCCCUUCCGGCGAUUGGGUGAUCUCAGAGAUGCCUGUUACACAGCAAGAUCUGAAGCUCGCCGUAUCAAAGGUGUGGUGUCUUUGAUACUGGUUAUAGUGUCACUGCUUGAUUGGAAUGUUUCUGAUGAAGGUUUUCGAUAUAGGUUGGUGACUUUUCGGAUGAUAACCGAUCAAAGAUUAACAGAUCUUUGCAUCGUAUAAGCGCUAUACGUAACCGGAAACUCCAAAUAAUUGGUUUAACGUGUUGAGUGGGACGAGUUGUAUCGGGAAGUGCGGAGAUCAUAAGAGACUUGAUAGAAGGAGGAGGAUCCAUCUUGGUCAUAGGAUCUCCUGGAGUUGGCAAAACAACUUUAAUCAGGUACAUUGAUGUUACAUAUUAUAUAACAAAGUUGUGAUGUUACAUGUGAUAAGAUUAGUUAGUUUUGUAUAGAGAAAUCGCACGGAUGUUAGCUGAUGAGCACAGGAAACGCGUAGUGAUUGUUGACACGUCAAACGAGAUUGGUGGUGAUGGUGAUGUUCCUCACUCUGGUAUCGGCCGUGCCAGGCGGAUGCAAAUUCCAAAUGUGAAUCUACAGCACGAUGUAAGUGUAUGAAAGCUUAGCCUUGAAGUAAAAACGUUUUUGUAACGUUUAAAAAACCUCACACACUAAGAAUGGGUCCUGGAUGUGGAAGAAGUUGCUGAAACUAAGACCAUUGGCAAAGCAGAUGAUAAGAAUGGAUGUUAAUAGUGGCUCCAACACUUCUUUCUGGUUUGAUAAUUGGUCGCCGCUGGGGAGUCUAAUUGAGCUAACAGGGGAACUAGGUACAAUGGAUCUGGGCAUUCCUCUAAAUAGUACGGUGGAAAGGGCUAUACAGCUAUACCGGCCAAAGAGACAUAGAGUAUCCAUUCUUCAGUUGAUUGAUAAAGAGAUUGGGGUGUUGAAGAACAGAGGAUUGAAUCAGCAGGAUGAUAUAUGUCUUUGGAAGAGAGAAAAUGGGGCUUUUAAAGAAGGCUUCUCCACGGCGCAAACUUGGAACAUUACUAGAGCUCAGUCACCGAGUGUCUCUUGGUUCAAAGGAGUAUGGUUUCCUGGUGCUACUCCAAAGUUUUCUUUCCUCAUAUGGAUUGCAAUACAUAAUAGACUAUCAACAGGAGACAGGAUUUUAAGAUGGAAUCCUCAGGCUGUAUCUACAUGCUGGUUGUGUAAAACAGCACCUGAAACGAGGGAUCAUUUGUUUUUUGAGUGUGUUUAUUCACAAGAAGUUUGGUUGAAGACUAUCAAGAACCUAGCAGGUAACAGAAUUAGUAGUGAUUGGUCUAGUGUGGUCCAAGUGGUGGUGAAUGGAUUCCAUGGUAGGAUUGUGACUUUUCUUCUUCGCUAUUGUUUUCAAGCAGUCGCAUAUGCAUUAUGGCAUGAACGAAACGUGAGAAGGGUGAGUGAACCUUCUUUGCCUGCUCGUUGUCUAGUUGCUCGACUGGAUAAGUUGGUCAGGAACAGGAUCACGUCUUUGAGGAAGAAGAAAGGAGAAAAAUAUGAGAAGGCAAUGGAGGUUUGGUUUAGUAGAAACUAAUGGAGAUUUGAACAUUGUAUAGAAACUUGUAGAUUUUAUGUUUUAUGAUUGAGGCAGUGAAAAAUCUGUAACAAGGUUCUUUUGAUUGAAAUAAAUUUAAAAUUCUUUCAAAAAAAAAAAAAAAAAACCUCACACAGGUUAUGAUUGAGGCGGUUGAGAAUCAUAUGCCUGAGACCAUCAUCAUUGAUGAGAGAGGAGUCCAGCUUGUGACUCCCAUUCCUUCAGAGACGAUGUUCCUCAUAAGCUAGUGACUCCCAUUCCUUUGGAGAAUCUUAAAGAGGAGCCUGCACCAUUGCUCAACAUAGAUUUUGCAAGUGAAGUGUUGUCUGACGACGAAAGAUGAAGACUUUCUUCCCACUCCGUAUUUGAAAGCCGGCAGUAACAUAUCAAAGAGCCAAAGAAGUUCACAUGUUCAUGUUUAUACUCGCAAUGUAAAUAGUCUAAUUUUUUUUUAAGAACCCUUAACUUAAGAAACUAUCAUUGGAUGACUAAAAUUAGGUGUUUCUUAACAUAAACUCUUAAUUUUAAUACUAAAAUAUUGAUUAAAAACCCACUUAGGGGUUACCCCAAUAAACAUGCUCUAAGCAAAUAUUUAUUUUUUUACCACUGAAGCACGGCCCUGGGUGUUUGUGGCUUCACUAUUUCAUAGACAUACCUAAUUUUUGUGCUACACAUCUCUUACACAAUCUAAUAUGAUGUUACUCUCCAUGUGUUUAAAUAAAAGACAUUAGACCACUUACAUUGGAGACUCUAAUAAGAGGUUCUAAAAAAAAAAACCAAAAAAUAAAUAAAUGAAAAAUGAGUUAAAAAGAGAGAACCGGUGCCUAAAUAUAACAUUUUUAGAACUGGUAAAGACUAGAGAUGGCAAUUGGGUCUUCCUGUCCCGUCCCGUCCCGCCCCGCCGCGGUCUUCAGUUCAAAUGGGUCUCAGCGGGACAGGCCCGCGCGGGAUGCGGUCUUGUCGAGGGCUGACCAAUCCCGCCCCGCAUAGUACAUGGGCUUUGCGGGUCGGCCCGCGGGACAUCGGUUCAUUAUACCUGCAUAAAUAAAACAACAUGAUCAGACAUAACUCACUUGCGUCUGGACACAGAAACAAACAUCAAAGUUUAUCAGACUGAGCAAUACGUGUUCACUAGAAUCACUACCUAUCAAACUAAGCAAUAACAAUUCAAGUUCUAUUAAACUAACCUCAUAUCUAAGCUCUUAAAAAUAAAACGUUUUUCUUACUUGUGGUUUCGUUUUAGUGAUCUUAAGCAUGCUCUCAUCUCCUAUGCUUUUGAAGCUGGGCUUGGAGACGGCAGUAUUGUUCAAAGAGUCCAUGGGAGCAGCUGUAGAGAAGAAAGAUAAGAGUAAAUGCAUUAUUAAUAGAUUUUUUGAACAUGGAUGCUGGAUAAUUAGGUACCUGUUGAGGAAGUGUGUUCUGUACUAAAACAAACAGAGCUUUGGAUAUAGUUCGGUGUAGUCUAUUGCUUAGCAUGUGAAUGAAAUGUCCAACAGUCAUGUCUCGUGGGACCAAGAACCUGCACAGGUCAAAACGUGAUUCAUUCAACUAGUGUAUUGAUAUAUAUUCACAUUUUGUUUAUGUUCUUCCCUCAGAAAAAGAAACACAAAUGAUUUCGUGCAAACUUACAAAGGAAUUCUUAACUAUAGCUUAUGACUACAAAGGACCUCAAAUGGUUUCGUGAACCACAAGUCACCUGCAACAAGAAGAGACCAAGAUAGAUUAGACCAUAACAUAAGUCAGACUCUUGAUACCAACAUGUUCAAGUUCUAACAGACUAACGAUUAGAUCAAAAUGAUAUCUUGAAUCUGCACAAAUUUCAUCAGUCUUCAAGGUUCUGCUGUGAAGCUGGUACUCCCCUGUACCAAACAAACCACUUUGGUGAAGAAUUGUGACUUAGAACUCCGCCACUUAGAGCCCACAACCUGAUGGAGCUCUGUUCUCGGUGAGAAAAGUGUAGCGGGCCUCAAUGUUUGCCCGCAUCCCGCUUCGGCCCGUCCCGCUUCGGCCCAGUACCGCCGCGGUCCUGUCCCGCCAGACCCGCAACUAAACGGGCCACAAUAUCUUUGCCCAAUCCCGCCCCGCAAUGGGCCUUUUCGGGUCAGGCCCGCGGGCAAGCCCUUGAACUGCCAUCUCUAGUAAAGACCCUAUACAUGUUUCUUUGUUAUUGGCUAAUGCCUUCUCUCUCUUCCUCUUCCUCUUCCUCUUCCUCUUAGUCGAUGUUUUUUUUUGGUUUGAGAAAGAGAUCUUCGUCGAUUUUGAUCGAGAAAUGAUCUCUUCUCCUUCUCUCUCCCUCACCGUCUCGUCUCAUCUCUCUCUAUCGUCCACCGGAAUCUACCUCUCUGUUGCCUUCACUCUCCGCUUUCACCCGGACCCGACCCGAUAGAAUCCGAGUAUCCACCGCCGAAGUGGCGGAGGAGGUAGAAGACGGUCCUGUCGAGCUUCCUCCGUCGGCCAUAUCUCCGUUCUCGUCAACUAACUCAAUAUUCGCCACUUCCGAUGACCUCACUCCUCUCCAGCUAGCCACCAGCGUAAUGCUCACCAGCGCCAUCACCACCUUCCUCUUCCGAUCGAUUCGACGGCGCGCUAAACACUCCACAGAGAUGUUACAGUUAACUUCCGAUCGAUUCGACGGCGAGCUAAACACUCCAAAGAGAUGUUAAAGUUUUCAUCUUUCCUCUCGUUCUCAGUGAAUCCGAAUUGAAAGUUUUCGACUUGGUGUGAGAAUUGCAGACGUUUAGAUCGUCUGGAGUGAAGAAGUCGUUGAAAGAUGAAGCGGUGGAGAAACUGAAAGCAAUGGGGGUCGGCUCCGAUUGAAGAAGGUGGUGGUAAGUCGACGACACCAUCGGCGGCUCAGGCGUUUCUUGGUGCAGUUUCGGCAUGUGUCAUUGCUGUCAUUCUCUAUAAGUUCACUACUACCAUUGAAGCAGGACUCAAUCGUCAGACUAUUUCUGAUAAUUUCUCGGUAUCGUUCCUUCUUUUUUCUCUUGGUUCAUUCUCAUUGCUUGUGUCAAAGUUCAUGUUUAUGUCCGUCUUUGCUUUGCUUUGGUUGUUGGGGUUUAGCAAGUAAGGUUGACUUGUGAUCCAAGUAUUAUCAUUGUCUCUGUAUUAGUAAAUGCACAUAACUGAGAAGAGGUUAAAAAAAAAAGAAGUUGAUAAAGUAUCAUCAUGGUCUCUUUAUCUGUAAACGCCCACUCUUGAGAGAGAUAAUAGUAUGGAAUAAAGGCUCCAUAGGCCCAUGAUUUCUGAAUUCAGUGUGCAGCUAGCUAUAUUCAUUAUGUGAAGGGCCCUCUGUUUAUGAUCAUUGCUUGUGUACGUACAUGGAAGGUGAAUGCAUUAAGAGUCUGAGUUUCUGAGUUUCUGAGGAAAGUUUCUGAGUUUUAUCAAACUCUGUGUGAUUCUUCUCGGAAGGUGAAUGCAUUAAGAGUCUUUCUUUCUUUGUUUUAUUUACUCCCUAGGAUUAGAUUCUGAACCUUGAAAAUGGUAAUGCAGAUAAUCGAUGCAGGAGAAACUAUGGAGGAAGUAGAGAAGAAGAUUCAACAAGUGGUGUUGGAUAAAGUUAAAGAGUGUGUUCAAGGAAAGUCUCUUUCUCUCCUCUGGUCAUCUUUUAUGAUUUUUAACCAAUCCACUCUUGUAGAAUGUUUGUGUUAUGGUGAUUAUACCAAGUUUGUGAUUUUCAAAGAACUAUUAUAUCAACUUAACAAGUAUUUUGCAAAAUCUAAUCAUUCAACUUCUUUAAAAAAAAUAAAAAAAAAUUAAGAAUUCUCUCCAUUGGACCAUGAAAAAAUUAAUUACACUAACAUAAGUUCUAAACUUUUCAAAUCAUACAAUUAACUAUUAAAUUAUUUAUUAGAGCCCCUAAUGGGUUCUUACCAUUGGAGUUGCUCUUACAGUGAGGAUUUUGCGGAGAAAACUGGUUCUAGUGAAGAACAAUGAUUUAGAUUUUAGGUUCUGAAUGUGUUCCUGUUUCUUUUAUUAUUUGCUUUUUGUUCUGACUUCAUGCCUAGUUAAUGAUACAAACAUUUAUCUAUGGACUCUGUUCUUAUGCAGUUCUAUAUUUCUGGUUGGUAGUUUUAUUUCUUUGUCUAAUGUUUUGAUCAUUCUAAAGAGUUUGUUGAUGUUUGAUGUUUUGUUGGACAAGGAAACCUUAACGGGAGACGAGUUUCGGGAAACAUUUAUCUACACUGACAAACCGUUGAAUGCCGAUGAUAGAGUUCGAAUCGAAGAUUUGAUUAGUGUGUAAUACAAAAAUAAUAAUAAUACUAUGGUACUGAUAUUAAACUCAAACUGGACUUCACUUUUAAAAUUUUUAAAACCGACCAAAAAUGUCCUUUACCGCUUGGUAAGUUCCGGUUAUCACAACCACGAUACCAAGCAGUAUAAUACCGAUGAGAACCAGCGUGUCGAACCCGAGACGUCAGUAUUUGCCAGAGAUCUUUAGGUAACACAAACAUGGCAAUAUAACUGACGCAGUUGCGCUCAAGAAUGCUCCGACCAAACUCAUGAGAUCACCAAAAAACGGAAGAAGCAAUGCUACAAUCAAAUUGCUAGCAACCAACACCGUACUAAGGAUCAAACCGGCGGCUUUUUUGUUAGGCAGAAACCAUGAAAACCGGCUCCUCAAUGCGUCCAUAAUAGGUGUAACCACUAGGGCAAACUUAGCAAUUGGGUUCACCAAUGUAGUGCAUAUCGCCACUUUUGAAAUAAGUUUAUCAGUCGGAAGAUUCAGUGUUAUCUGUGAUUGAUUCUACAUUUGAUCCAUACAUUAAGUAGCCCAAUAUCGCCACCGAUGCAUAUAUGAAUGUGCAUAUUGUGAAACAUAUAACCAUAACCUUCAAAUAAAACAAAAAGACAAACAAAUUUAGUAUAUAACCAUCAUAUUAUAUAAUGGUAUGUUUUGAUAUAAUGUACGUUUGAGAAUUGGCGUUUGUUUUUCAUGGAAGUAUAUAGAGUAGGGAAAACCGGAUGAGCGCAAUAACAAAACGCGUAUAAGCUCACGGAGGUAGUGACUCCAUUAAUACGAAAGAUCUUUGAGUCAUUGUUCUUGAACCCUACUCCUUCAAAUGCUCCAACCCAAAAUAUAGAAGCAAGAAUCAACAAAUAAGCAAAGACACCACUCGCGUGUGAAACACACAAGAAUGGAAAAAGAUGAAACUGUAACUUCAAUAUUUCAUUCAACUCAAGAAACCCUAAUACAUCGCUAGCCUCUUAUAUACAUGAGGAGGCACAAGGGUACAUCUUAACCUAAAGCUUAAGUUAGCACACGCCAGCAUCAAGUAGCUGGAAUCGGUUCACGGUAAGGAUAUGAUGCUCUGAUCUCCUCUGAGCUGGCUUCUCCGUACACAGAAGACGACAAGAGCUCAAGUUCUUCCUUUUACUCAGAACUGUAUCAACGGCUAGUAUUGAAACUUCAGUGGGCUUAACGGGCUUGUCAACAUGUUUCUCAAUCGGCUCAGAUGCCAUUACGAAACCUUCUGUACCAGCUGGAGUCUUUGAGGAAGAUAGACUAAUAUCGCGGAAACAUAAGAAAGAAUCCUCAUGUCGUCUAGCCAAACCGAGGGAAGAAUAAUAAGAGCUACAAGGACGAUGAACAUUUGCUUGCCUCCAAAUUCUAAACCCAUGAAGUUGAACCCAACGUUUGAGAAGAGUUUAUUAAGAUUGUCAUCUUCUAAGAUCAAGAAACUAGUAGCGACAAGGUAAAGCUCGAGGUUCAUGAAGAUGGAGACAACGACACGUCCUGUGUUUCCAAAGGCUUUGUAGCCAAUGUCCGGGUAAGAUCUAAUAAGUGGAUCCAUGUCCAUACAUCUCUUAAUGAGAAUGGCACAAUGGAGAGUUGUAAUGGCUAUGGUGAAGAAUAUGAUCAGACUUAGCCAUCCACCGGAUGCUAAUGCAUAAGGGACUGAUAAUACACUAAUACCUAAAGAAGAACAAAUAACAAAGGUCGAGUGAAUGACUGAUUGUCUAAAGCACACAAGCAACUGUAAUUUUGUUUGUGUUCAUAUGUGAACACAUUACAAGUAUUUUACAAAUUAUAAAUACACACGCAAAGAAACUGUGUUCAAGAUCGUUAUCAAGAUAUGAUUUGAUUUAAGAAGCUUGUAUAGGAUUGAACACAUACGCGCCAAUCUAGAUACAAGUCUACAAGAUAAAGUCAAAAUCUUGAUUCAAAAGCUUGAACUAGAAAAUAUAACAUGUUUAGAUGCAUAUCUAUGUUAUUUAUACAUCAACACAUGUGGACAACUGGAUAAGCUAAGUGUUGGAUCCUUGGUUGUGAGUAUAGAACUUGAAUAAGAAUAGAAACUGUUUACAAAUUCUGUACUUCGCAAUUUCCAAAACUUGUUAUGAACUCGCCUCACGCGCUAUGCGAAAACUCUCUCAAACCUGAAGACCUCUUCGUUUCACCUCCUCCGUCGCCGUCUCCGGCGCCUGUCAGCCCCAUCUGGGAUGGCAAAGAAGAAAUCGGCGAAAGGAAAGGGUUCCACUGUUUCCCACGCUCGUCAAAACUCGUCUCCACCGAGUUCCUCUGUAUCAAAGUCUCUCUCUGUUGCAAAACAGAGACCUGAUUCUGAUUCCACCGCUGGAAAGGCUGCAAGCGACCUUUCUCCAGCAAUUGAUGCCCAAACUGCUGUUGUCAAAGCAGAUCCGGCCAUGGAGAUUGUUUCCCCCAAUCUUGAAAACCUAGCUACAGAAGUUACUGUACCUAUUUCGAAAUUCUCUGAUACCACUUCUGCAACAAACACUGGAAUUGAAACAGUGAUAGAAACGACCUCUCCUCAGGAUAGACAAGACGUCCACGUCCCCUCUCCUGCAAAUCCUACGGCUUCACCCUCUACUUCAAGUCCAGCAGAGCUCUGGAAAGGCUUUGUGAAGGAAGCUAACAUAAAGCUCUACCCAAAGGAGAAACCUUUUCUGCUCGACUCAGGCGAACCGUGUGUUACCAUACCAAACGCCGUAGUGGAGAAGAACAAAAAGGCUUGGGAAUGCUUCAUCAUAGGUCAGUUCUAUGACGAAGCCCCUGCUCGGGGAGCUGUUCACGCGAUUGUAAACGGUAUCUAGAGCAAACAUCGCAGAGAUAUAACAGUCUCCAAGAUGGACAACCAGGCUUUUCUUUUCCGCGUCCCUUGUCCUCACGCCCGUAGACGCAUCUUAAGCCAAAGUCUAUGGCAGAUUGAUGGUCUCUCGAUGUUUGUUGCCAAGUGGUCUCCGGGUAUUCAACAGACCAAACCUGAACUCAAGAUGGUGCCAGUUUGGCUUGAAUUUCGCGGAGUCCCAUUACAGUUCUUCAACGGAGAUGCCUUGAAGGAGAUAGCGGGAAUGGUUGGACAGCCGGUCUGCCUUCACCCAUCAACAGAGCAUCUAACAAAUAUUGAGGUGGCAAAAGUCUACACUGUUAUAGAUCCCAGAAAACCGCUGCCAAAAUUCGUAAAUGCUCGGUUCGAAAGUGGUGAGACUCGUCGCAUCUCAGUCACUGGCCCUUUCCUCCCGGCUUUAUGUUCAUUUUGCAAGAAAGUGGGACACUCCAUAUCCCGUUGCAAAGCAGCACCGAAAACCUGCACUCUCUGCAACUCCGUAAGGCACUUAACGGUUGAGUGUUCGAGGUACAAUCGCGAGAAGGCGAAAGGAAAGGCACCUAUAAAAAACUUACUCCCGAUUGUAACGCAGACAAAGGCUGUCUACAGGCCAGUGAGUGGAAAGAGCACAGAUGUUUUGAUCUCCUCGGAUGCUACUACUGGAAAGAAAGAUGAACUGGUAAUACGAACACCACCACAUCCCAAAAGAACAUCAACUUCGCCACGACGAGCCAAGGAGAUGGGUAUUAGGAUGCGAUCCCUGUCCCCCACCAAUAAUCAGUCUCCGCGCGUUAAGGCUCCACAACAGUCUCCCCUCGUAGAGUUCAAUGAUCUGAGGGAUGGUGGUCUUUGUGUGGAUUUGUCUCCUUAUGCAGAUGAUCAGCACUCUAAUGAUGACUCCCUCUCAGCCGGCCACUCCUCUGGUCAUGUGUCUGAAGGCAACAAGUUUUCAGGAGAGGAGGAUAAUCCGGACGAUGGAAAUGACAAGUAUAUUGAAGUCAUUUCUCGAAGAAUGAAGAAAAACUUAAAAGGAAAGUCUAGGGGUGGAGGCCCUUUAAUCCUCUAAACCUUAACUUUUUAAAUGGAUCUUUUUUGUUGGAAUAUUAGAGGAAUAAAUGAUCCUGUGAAGCGGAGGGGUUUUAGAAAAUGGAUGCGGAAGAAUAAACCAAUUUUUGGUAGUCUCGUGGAGACACAUGUACAGUUAUCUAAGUCGGCUAAGGUUGUAGAUUCUAUUUUACCGGGUUGGUCUUUUCAUGGAAACUAUGACCACACGGACUUGGGGAGGAUAUGGGUUGUUUGGCACCCUUCGGUUAAAGUAAGGAUUAUCUCGAGUUCUCGCCAAAUGACUUCUUGUGUUGUGAAGCUCCCACAGAUAAAUAAGGAGUUUCUGGUUUCGUUUAUCUAUGGUUCCAACUGCAGAAUUGAAAGACGUACACUAUGGAGCGAGUUGGAAGCAUGCUCAGUAUCUCAGCAGGUGAUUAAUACACCUUGGAUCACUCUCGGUGACUUUAAUGAGAUUUUACAUCCAUCAGAGCACUCAACGACUGAUCAAUUCUCUUUCUCACGGGGCUUGAGGGAUUUCAAAGACUGUGUUGACAGCACUGCUUUGUUUGAUCUUCCCUACUGCGGGAGUUCUUUUACUUGGUCAAAUGGACACAUAUCAAAGAAAUUGGAUAGAAUCCUCACUAAUGCAGCAUGGUUUCAGCAGUUUCCAGAGUCUAUCGGGGUCUUUGGCAUUCCGGGAAUCUCUGACCACAGUCCCUGCUGUGUUUUCUUCGAUCAGUCUAGGCCGAAGCAAAAGAGACCAUUUAAAUUCUUCGCUCACUUGAAUCAACAUGACGAAUUUGUUGAGAUCCGUCGUAACUGUUGGAACUCUUUGAACUUCUCUGGAACAAAUCAGAUAAGAGUCUCUAAAAAGCUGAAGGAGCUCAAGGGAAUUAUUAAAACCUUCAACAAAGAGCACUUUUCCCAGCUGGAGCAACGCGUAGAAGAUGCAUUCUCCGAGCUGUGUCUUGCUCAAGAAAGUGUUCUUACAAACCCUUCUCAUUCCUCUACCCAAUUCGUUCAAGACGCUCAUCGUCGCUGGCACGUUUUGGCAAAAGCUGAAGAUUCUUUCUUGAAACAGAGGUCACGGGUACAAUGGUCUGUAGACGGGGACUCAAACACUGCCUACUACCACAUGAUAAUUAAAACAAGACAGGCCCAAAACCAAAUUGUUUUUCUCCUUGAUAGUGAUGGAGCCAUCAUUGACCAGAUUGAAGACAUAAAGAAGCAUGCUGUUGAUUACUACUCAAAUCUGUUAGGUGGCCCUUCGUCUUCAGCUGCCCCUUCUCCAUCGACUAUAGCCUCGUUCUUGCCUCUUCAUUGUUCUGCAGAAGCUGUGAGCCUUCUUGCUGCUGAGUUCAGUGCUUCAGACAUACAGGCAGCUUUCCUCUCCCUUCCAAAGUCCAAAGCCCCCGCACCGGAUGGUUAUCCUGCAGAAUUUUUCAAGGCAAACUGGAGUGUGGUAGGAAAAGAAAUGAUCGCAGCAGUGAAAGAGUUUCUAUCAACUGGGUGUCUUCUCCAACAAUGGAACUCAACGAUCAUUUCCCUAAUUCCGAAGAAGGCAAAUGCUAACCGGAUGACUGAAUUCAGACCCAUAUCCUGUUUCAAUACCCUCUACAAGGUAGCUUCCAAGCUGCUAUCAAACAGGCUUAAAGCUGCCCUGCCGAAGCUUAUCUCCUCUGCCCAAUCAGCCUUCGUUCCAGGACGUCUUCUAGUUGAGAAUGUACUCUUAGCGACAGAGCUUGUGUCUGGAUAUAAAUGGAAAGAAAUCUCAAAGCGGUGUAUGCUGAAAGUUGAUCUACAAAAGGCUUUUGAUUCGCUUAAUUGGGAAUUCAUAUUGAAUACGCUCGAAGCCCUUGGGUUUCCAAGCCACUUCCGGAAGCUGGUAUCUCAGUGCAUAACAACUACCAGAUUCUCUGUAUCAAUUAAUGGUGAGUUGUGUGGCUAUUUUAAGGGGUCAAAGGGUUUACGGCAGGGCGACCCGCUCUCUCCCUAUCUAUUUGUCAUUGCGCUGGAAGUAUUCUCUCAGCUGCUAAAUGCGAAGUUUAGAGUUGGGGAUAUUGGCUACCAUCCGAAGACAUCAGACCUUGAGGUAACACAUCUUGCCUUUGCUGAUGAUAUUAUGAUUUUCUUUGAUGGUGAGGAAAACUCCCUUGCUAAUAUCGUUGAUACUAUGGAGUUAUUUGCCACUUGGUCUGGAUUGAGAAUGAACAAAGGAAAAACAGAACUCUUUGCAGGAGGGUUGAACCAGGCUGAAACUACUGAUCUGCGACGUCUUGGUUUCACUCUCGGUUCAAUGCCUAUCCGUUACUUGGGUCUUCCUCUGAUGCACCGUAAGCUGCGCAUUUCCGAAUACAGGCCACUGUUAGUGAAAAUAGCGGGUCAGUUCACUGCUUGGUCUGGUAAAAAGCUGUCCUAUGCUGGUCGUGCUCAGCUGAUAAACUCGGUUAUCUAUGGAACUAUAAACUUCUGGACUUCGGCAUUUGUUCUGCCUAAAGGAUGCUUACAGCAAAUUCAAAGUUUAUGCUCUCGCUUCUUAUGGACCGGAAAUAUUACUAAUCGUGGAAUGGCUAAGAUUGCGUGGAGCACAAUCUGUUUACCUAAAAGAGAAGGAGGGCUCGGCUUUAGGAACCUGGAAAUUUGGAACAAGACCCUUUGCCUAAAGCUUAUUUGGAUGUUAUAUGUUCAUAAUCCUUCUUUAUGGGCUUCAUGGAUUAGGAAGUAUAAGAUUGGAGAUGAGAGCUUAUGGAGCCUGGACCCUAAGAAGGCAGGCUCGGGAACAUGGAGGUCACUGUUAAACCUGCGUCAUCUAGCUACAAAAUUCUUGAGAGCAGAGGUUGGAAAUGGUGACAGAAUAAGCUUUUGGUGGGAUACUUGGACCCCUCUAGGUCGGUUAAUUGAUUUAUUCGGUGAGACAGGUCCACGUGAACUCUCAAUUCCUCUGUUCGCAUCAGUUGCUGAUAGUUGUGACCAUAAUGGUUGGAGACUGAGAGGUGCUCGCUCACCUGCGGCAGAGAAUCUACACAUUCAUCUCACUAGUAUUCAGCUGCCUACUACCUCCCAAACAGAUGAUGAGUUUUACUGGUUCAUUGAUGGUGAGAAUCUACCGCGAUACUCUGCAUCGCGAACUUGGGGGGCAAUUAGAGAUAGAGCUCCUGCAGUCACUUGGUCAAGCAGUGUCUGGUUCAGAUCAGCAACACCUCGUCAUGCUUUCUUGAUGUGGAUCGCACAGAAUGAUAGAAUGCCAACUCGAGUACGACUAACAAGUUGGGGCCUUGGCAUCUCAUCUAACUGCUGUCUAUGCGACUCAACUCCAGAGACUCGAGAUCAUUUGCUUUUGCGCUGUGAAGUUAGUAAGCAGAUUUGGGUCUUGGUUCUGAGAAGGUUAGGAUAUUCCCACUCUUGCUUCAUCACUUGGACAUCUUUUAUUGAGUGGUUAUCUCUAAGGGAUUCCACAGCUCCACUGAUGCUCAAAAGAAUUGUUGCUCACGCAACUAUCUAUAGUAUCUGGGGAGAACGGAACAAGCGUCUACACGACGGUAUCUCGACUGCUCCUCCAACGAUUUACAGGCUCAUUGAUCGUAAUAUCAGACGACGGUAUCUCGACUGCUCCUCCAACGACUUACAGGCUCAUUGAUCGUAAUAUCAGAGACACAAUCUUGGAGAAACAGCACAUCAAGAAGACUUUCAAAAACCUUAUGCUAUCUUGGCUAAGGCAUGAUUAGGAAGUCUUCUAUUUAUGGUUUACACUUUGUUUUUAUCUUUUUUGCCAAAGUGCAUCCCAUCUACUCUAAUUAUUUUUGUAAAGUUUUACAAACUCUUCUCAUAUUUAUAAGAAUUUCAAAUCCUUGGCAAAAAAAAAUUUCCAAAACUUGUUCAACAGUACUUUUUUUUUUCCGACAAAGUAACUUUAUUAAGUACAUUAGUAUCUAAUGUAAUCAUUACAAAUCAUAUUGGAAAGCCAAUGUGGAAUUAAUGUAGAAGAAGAUGUAAAUAAGACAUCAGCGUUACAUUUUGUAGCUAAAAUAUGAGCCACCCCAUUUGCUUCUCGAUGAACAUGCGUAAACUGAACCUUUUCAAGUCUGCUACCCCAACUUCUGAUAUCAUUACAAAUCGUAGCAAUACUAAAAUCACCAUGUUCUGCAUAGAUUGAUCUCAUUAAGACCAGACAAUCACCUUCAAAAAUCACAUUCUUGUAACCCAAGGCAAACACACAUUGAAUGGCUGCUAAUAAGGCCUGACCCUCCGCCUCAAGUGGUGAAAGAGAAGUGCCUAAACUAGCCAUUUCCCAGUAUUAUACCACGCCAUUAACGUCCCGAAUGAUCCAGCCUGCAGAGACUUGUAAGCUUUGAGCAUUGUAGGCAGCAUCGAAAUUGCAUUUAUAAUAAGGUAACGUUGGACGACGGCACAUAGAUUGACGCUGUGGACUUCUCAUAAGAGUAGUAUCUUGCACCGUUUUUUGUAACCAGUCACGAACUUCUGCGGUAACAUAACCAGCAUCGCGUUGAGGGUUGAUAACUUGAUUUUUGAAAAUGAGGUUAUUCCUCGAUUUCCAAAUCUUCCAAAGUAUCCAAAAAGGUGUCAACUUCUGUUCCAGUGUCAGGGUUGAUGAAGACUGAAGAUCAAACAGACGUCUCAUGUUGGUUUCCAAGUCGUCAGUAAACGUUGCAGAGUAGCCUAAGGUAACCUGAUUCGACCUCCAUGUUUGAAUCGAAAGUGGACACAUGAAGAAAAGAUGGUUCACCGUUUCAGGGGAACUAGAACAACGAGGGCAGAGGCUAUCCAAAGACAUACCCCUUGUAUUUAAUCUUGUAUUUGUUCCCAAAGCUAAAGUAAUGAGGCGCCAGAAUAACAAAAACAAAAACACGAAAGAAAAAGCAAAAACAAACCUGAUAAAGCGUUAAUGCCAUGGAAAUAAGUCUUGGAGAAAGAGGUAUUGCCCUGUGAAUUAUUAUCGAACUGAUAAUCAUGAAGCGUCGUUUCUUCAUCAUUAAUUGUCUUUACGAUAAAUGGCUCCGACAUGAAAUCUUCCUUCUCGUUCAUAAUUUGUUUUAUCUUUGACUCUUCUCCUUCGAUGUAAGCGAUACAGAGAAAUGAGAUCGAGUGAAGAGAUAUAAAAGUUGCAAGUAAUGAAAAAGCAAAACGCAAAACGCAAAAUGCAAUAUACUUAUAUUUAUGUAUUAGAUCCGAUGAUUACGCAUGAUGAUUAUCAGAUAAUUCAGAUAAAUUUACAUUUCUAUUUUUGGAUGAAAUGUCAGAUAAUUCAGAUAAAUUUAAAUAUUUCUUAUAAGAAUAUUUGAGUGAUUCAGUUUUUUCAGUAUUAAUAAUUCCCAUUUUUAUUCACAUUUAUGAGUGAUUCACAUUUUUCGGUAUUAAGAAUAUCUAUACUAUUAAACAGAUGAAAACAUUUGUGAUUGUUAUAGCGGUUUUGCACCUUGCGUGGAUGUGAAGUAUUAACGAACCUAUAUUGUUUGAACCAUUUUAUUAAGGGGAAUUAGUUGAACCAUUUUGUAAAUAUAUUAAGGUAGACAAAAUUUCACUGACCAUAUAUUUUAUAUACCAGUAUAUGUAUUUAUUAUUUUCAGGAUUGAGAGUUUAGGAUUAUCCUUCUACAUAUAUACACAUUUAGGGACACUGCUCUAAGGUUGACAAAUAUAUAAAUGUAAAUCAUUUUAAUAUAAACUCCAUGGGCUAUAUACAAAUAUAAAAAUCAAUAUUGUUAAACUUGUGUAUUCAGUAGGUCUGAUAUGUGUCUGAUAUGUGUAUUUUUAGCUUUACCAGUCAAAACUAUGUGAAGUCGUGAACCAUAAAUUGUUAAAACCGUAAGUAAAUAUUUUCUGAUUGCAUAGUCUAUAUGUCAUGUGUUUAAAUAAUGAUAGUCCACUCGUGAAUCUCACAAUGUUUUGUUUACAUGAAAGAAAUGAGUAUUAUUUAUUAUUAAUUAAUAUAUAGCUAAUUAUCUUUUAGGCUAUAUUGUAGAUGUGAUCGGCAAAUAUAUAAGUAUCACGGAUGGCUUUUUGAUUCACAAAAAUUUAAAAUAUUUUAUUUAAGGCAAAUCUUAGAAAAUUUAAGAAAUUCAGUUAUAUCACCUAUUAAAUUGAUUAAAUUAUUGUUAAAGAAAUAUAUGGUAAUAUAUUGUUAGUAUAAAUUUAAGAUAAAACCAAAAUAUUAAUAGUCUACUGAAAGGGUCUAACAACCUUGUAUAAAUAAAUUUUUUUAGAGUGAUUCUCUUUUAAUAGAAUAGAUUUUGGGAUACAGGAGAUGUGUACGAGAAGGGUUCUAUUUUAUUUUUCCCACUACAUUGACCACUUUUUCUAUAUGGAAGUUCCAAGUGAUCCGGUAAAGUUUACAAACCCUUUUGCUUUCCUGUUAACUUUCUUAUGUUGACAAAUAAGUUAUCCACUCAUACAAAAUAUCACGUUUUUUAUAACAGUGGAAUAUUAAAACAUUUUGAAAAUGAAAGGUGAAGUAUUAAAUUUGUUUGUUUAAUAUAUACACGCAAAAAUCAGAAUAAAACUGACGAAAGCAAGGUUAUCGCUCACGAUUAGAUUUACUUAUAAGACCCUAAAUCGAGUAAACGACGUGUCGGCUCAAGAGAGCAAUGUUAUAUUAUUAUAAUACCAACUGGAGGGUUAAAAUAUCUAUAAUCUUCUUUAAAUAAUUUAUCCUUGUUGCUCAGCACGAUAGGUCAAAAAAUUUGUAAACUCCUUUAAUCUGUCGCUACGACGGUUUGAACCGGUUCAUGCUUUUAUUAUAUAUUCAAUUUGUUUCAUAAUAAGUUUUAUUUUAACUUUUUUUUGUUACACAAAAAUAUCAUUUUAAUAUUUCACUACAAAUUAUAUUUACUUUCAGCUAAAAAUUAAUGGCAAAAUGCAUUAAUUUUAUAAAUAAUUUUAUUUAUCUAAAAUAUUAUUGAUCAAAAAAAUGUAAAUAAUAAUAAUUUAAACACAUUUCAAUCAUUUUCUUAAUCUGUGUGAAAAGUAUUAAAAUGACACUUAUUAAGAAACAAAAUAAAUAUCUUAUUAGGUUAAAUUUAGAAACCGUCUAUGUCUUAUGAAAUCUUUUUUUUUAAUAUCUUCAGCUAUAUUUAGUAGAGUAACCUCUACAGAACGAAAAAACACUAAUUUUAUUUUACGAAUCAUUUCAUUAUAAUAUUAAAUUUUGUUUGGUCUAAUUGUUUUUUUUCUUGGUCAAACGUUUGGUAUAAGCCAUGUUCGUUUAUUAGACGCAGCGACAGUAAAGAUGAGCGUCUAAAAAAUAACAAACGAUAAAGAAAAAUAACGACAUUGUCAUGUUAUAUAACAGUCCCUCGCAACUGACGUUAAAGCUAUUUCUUCUAUUUUAAUAGCCGCCAUAAAAAACAACAGUUUCAUUACUGUUGCGGCAACAAUUGUUUUGUGUAUAAAUUGAGUCGCAACAUCUUCAAACGAGCUGUUUUUAACGAGGUCUUGAUUGGUAGAGCAUUAACAAUAGCAGUAGCAGUAUGCUAUAGAAGGAGUAUGCUGCAUGAGCUGUAUGCUUUUGUUAAAUUGUUUAAUAGGAUGAUUGGUAGAGCAGUAUGAGUAUACUAUUUAAAAUUAUUAUAAAAAUUAGUAUAUAAUAUAUAAUAUAUUUAUNNNNNNNNNNNNNNNNNNNNNNNNNNNNNNNNNNNNNNNNNNNNNNNNNNNNNNNNNNNNNNNNNNNNNNNNNNNNNNNNNNNNNNNNNNNNNNNNNNNNAGGUUCCAUGUAUAAAAUCUAUCUCACAUCAAUUCACAACUUGUGUCCUUUUAUGGCCUGGUUUUGAUGUGUCACGUAAUUUCAGCUACAGUAUAAAGAAUCAGAAGGUUCAUCACACCGUGAAGGGACAUAUGCCGCAAUGCCGGAUACUCCAAAGGCCAGCAUCAUAACUUGAAUCGUCAAUUCUUACUGCAGUUUCAUCCUUAUAUGGAUAUAUUAUCUCUAAUCCUUUGUGUAUGAUCAGGAUCGCAUCUGAGCCAUUCAGUUUUGGAGGUACGUUUCCUUAAAUCUCCUUUGUUUCAGAAUUGUAUAUACCACUUAAUCAUCUCACUAACUUGCAAAGUGUGUGUCUGUUUCAGCUGAAAGACCAAUCAAGAAGGAACAAAAGCGCAAGGUAAUCCAGAUCAGAGUCUAGUCUUUGUAUCAUAUAUAUGGAUUUCUAUGAAAGUAUAUAAACCCUACACGGUCCUGGAAGACAAUCAGAUACUCCUUCACCAGCUCAUAAGAGGCCCAGAAAAUUGAGAGCAUCUGAUCUCUAACUGCAAUACUGAUUUCCAAUUUUAUGUAUGUGUAAUUUGCAAUUUUCAGUCACAAUGCACUAUUUGUCAGUUUAUAAAAGGAGUAAAUUUAAAACAUUAACGUAUAUAAUUUUUUUUGUUGCAUUUUUCUAUGUAAAAUCAUUAAUUAAUCUCUUGCGCCACAUUUUAUACACGAUUGAAUCACAUCAACUAAUUCAAUCGUUGCAUUUUUCUAUGCAAAAACAUUUAUUAAUAUCUUGAACUAAAAUUUGUAUAAAAUGAUUGAAUCACAUCAUCCGUUGCAUUUUUAUUUUAUUUUUCUAUGUAAUCACAUUUUUAAUCAUAACAGUUUCAAUUGAUAACAAAAUUAAUCCUGGUAAUCAUCACAGUGCAUCAGCUAAAACAGAUACCACACAUCACAUAAAGCAUCAGCUUCACAGGCACAAAUAAAGAGACUAAGAUUAAACAAGCAAUGGCUAACAUUUUUCACCAAUUGAGCCAAGUGAGAGAGGGUAGCAACUCCGUACGGUCUGCUCAGAAAAGCAUAAUAACAAAUAAAGAGGAAGACUUGAUAAGGGAAAACCGGAAAAUUGUAUAAAGCAUUGCUAUUUUGAUAAAACAAAUUGUCUUAAAAUGAAACAUCAUCAUUACACUCUUAUUCUCAAACAUAUCCAUAUCUUUCAGCUUCUAAAUAAAUAAAGGAAAUAACACGUGCAGUAGAUAUUGGAAACCAAGAAAGCGAGCUUUAGUCUAGGUAUUGUUAUCUUAACAUCCCUUAAUCCACAAUCAUUUACACCAUGCCUCUUUCCUUCGUUUUCUGAUAUGCUACAGAGAGUCUAUGUGAGGAAGAGAAGAGAAAGAUAGAGCGGAGGAGAGGAGGAAGAACAGAGUAUUGGCCGUUAGAGUUUGAUGACGUGGAUUUAUUCUGUUACGAGUAUUAGAGAAUAAGGGGAUUGUACUUGGGCCUUGGUAUAUAAGAGGACCCAAGCAAGAGAAGAUAGUUAGUCAGUUAGAGAGUCUUGGGCUUGCCCUUGAUUGAGAGAGAGAUUGUAUUCGGCUUAGUACUUCGACUUGUGAAGUCUAAGAGGGGUGGUUGGGUGGAUCUUAAUCAAUAAACAUCACAGUUCUAACAAAUUGGUGACGGUGAGCGCUCUGGAUAACGGAACUUCGCGCGAUUAGGAUGAAGAAUACGAGACUAGCCGGCGAGAAUCAAUCAGAUCAUCCGAUGACGGUGGAGUCUCUGGCAACGAUGUUACGCGAUCAUACGGCGUCGCAGGUUGAUACGAAUCGGCGAUUCGCUGAGUCGUUUCACGAGUUGGAGAGAAACGCGAAGGCGAUGGAAUCGCGAAUUGAAGAGACGUUGGAGGCGAAGAUCGAAGCAUGUUACGAGAAGAUGUGUGAUCGAUUGGAGAAGAAACUUUCAAAAUCGAUUGAUGUUUCGGACGAAUCUCCUCCGCCGUAUCGUCAUCCUAACUAUCAGGUACAUAACUCCACCUUGGAACCUGGCCGUAGCAUUAGGAAUGAGGAUGUGAGUGAUCGAACCACUGUAGUUGGUAGUCGCGAAAGAAUGUUGAAACGUGUGGAAUUACCUGUGUAUGAUGGUUGUGAUGCGUAUGGAUGGCUAGCUCUUGCAGAACAUUUUUUCAGGAUUGGCGGUUAUGAUGACCGAGCUAAAUUGGACAUGGUCUCAGUGAGUUUAGCAGGAGAUGUACUCAGCUGGUUUAACAGUGAAUCACAUCGAAGAGGGUUCAGAAGCUGGAUGGAGUUUAAGCAGAAACUGAUAGCGAGAUUCAACAAAGAGAAGUUCAGGGAUCCGAGCCAGCCAUUCUUUGCGGUUAAAAAGACUGGUACUGCAGCUCAGUAUAUCCAUGCCUUUGAAGAUCUAUCAACGUUGGUGACUGGUCUGACAGAUACGCAGCUCGAAGGGAUAUUCAUGAAUGGGUUAAAACCUGAAAUGAGAGAAGUGGUAACGAUGUGCAAACCAGUUGACUUGGAUGAAAUGAUCUCAACAACAACCCUAAAGUUCUGAAUCGAUCCUGAUCGAAUCGAAGACCGUAUCGUUUCUGGAUUGGCUGAUAGCUACUCGUUAAACUCGAAAUCGUAAUCGGAAUGGGCGGUACGGACGCGAAGGACAUCCUCGGGUUGCCGAAGACUCCACUGUCUUUAGCUCAGGAGAAGAGAUCUCGACCCCAGAAGGAGUCCCAUCGAAAACCCGAUGGCAUUUCUCGCGAGGUGAGCUCUAACAACUCGAAACAAGCCCUGGAAUCGAUCGGAUUAAUAGUCUCUCAAGCUGUUAAUUUUCGUCGUCUUUGCUGAAUUUCAGGUUUAUGCGCUUACGGGCGGCGUUGCCUUCAAUUGAUUAAAACGACCUCAAAUUUAUAGAUUUUAGAUGAUUUAUCUGUGGGUUUUGAUGUUAAAGAACCCUUCUUUCUUUCAGGUAGCUUGGCAAUGGCUUCCCGUCAAGAGUUCUGCUAGGAGUGAUGAUUUGCAGCUCUUCCAUUGGGUAUGUUCCUUAGCUUUGGAACCUUAUUACACAAAGGUUGAGCAUUUGAUUCUUUCUAAUGUCAUGUGUAUUGUCAGGUUAGAGUGGUUAAUGAUGUUCCACCAUCAGGUGACUAUUCCAUACAACAAGUUAAAUGUUAUAUAUCCAGUUGAUGAGUGUCUAUUACAGUCUCGUUUUGAGUUAAUUUUACUGUCCCCUCUCCGUUUAUGACUCUUAUUCGCGUCUUUUUUUUUUUUUUUUUUUUUUUUUUNNNNNNNNNNNNNNNNNNNUUUUUUUUUUUUUUUUUUUUUUGUUAAAAUGCAGUCAGUUGAUGUCCUGAAAUACACUGACGAUGAGUAUGAGAACCAUUUAACGGACCCUGUAAGUGUAUGCUCUUGCUUUUAUUUUAUGUACAUGCUUGCUCUGGAUACUUGUCAAAUUUGUUGAUUGUGCUCCCAACUUGUAGGUGUGGACCAAGGAAGAGACAGAUCAGUUGUUUGAAUUGUGUGAAAGGUUUGAUCUCCGUUUCACUGUGAUUGCUGAUCGCUUUCCAUUAUCCCGGACUCUAGAGGAAUUGAAGGAUCGUUACUAUAGCGGUAUGUUUUGAACUUUAUACGUUCAUUUACACCAUGCCUCUUUCCUUCGUUUUCAUCUUUGUUUCUUUCUGUUUUUUAUUUCGCGUUGCACCAGGAUUCGUUUGAAUUUACGAGGACUGAGAAUUCUCUGACUUAACUUCUUUUUGUAGUAACUCUGGGCCCUGCUGCGUGCUAGAGCUCAGUGUUGGCCAACCAUCCUCUUAUAAAAGUCAACUUCCUCUUUUAUAUCUCUUAUUAGCAAACAUAUCUGUAAAUAGUAUUUCUCAAUAUCUCGGCAUAAGCAGGAGCCGUAUGAUAGGACACGCGAUAGAGAGCGCAAACGUGCAUUGUCUAUGGUCUUGUCCCAGAGUAGACACCAAGAGAAGAAAGAUGCAGAGGUUUUUCUCUUUAAUUUCUACUAAGCAAUUGUAAAUUAGUUCUUUGCUUUCUCUUACACAGUCUCCCAUAACUACAGAUUCUAGCUGAGGCUCACAGAGAUGCGUUUGGCUGCGCGUGUAAGUGUUUUCUUAAAAUCAAUGUACUCGCUCGUGCUAGCUAAAUUACAAUAGAUGAAUUACCAUGAAGAAAUAUACCCUUUUACCUUAGACGCAUAUCAUAAAUCUGUCGUCAUCAUUUUGUCUCUUAAAACGAUUGGUCUUUCUGGAUGUCCAGCGUGCGGCAGAGCCUGAUGUGCCUGCGAAUGAGAAUAUCGGUAGUGUAUCUCCAUCUUCCAAUUCUCAACUUCCUGCAACUGCCGUGGCUCCAUCCACACUAUCAAUGGCAGAUUAUGCCUCUACCCUUGCUUCUCUGCACAUGGUGAGUUUCUCCCUCUUCUCCUCUUUCAAUUUUCAUUUAGGUUUCCACUAAAGUGAUCUGAUCCUUUUGGUGAAAUUUUGUCAAAUUUUCAGCUUCAUGUAUACUUGAGAACCUAUGGACUUGAACAAAUGGUCCAAGCUGCAAGCUCUGCUGUUGGUCUUCGAACGAUCAAGCGCGUUGAGUAGACUCUGCAAGAUCUCGGGGUUUGUUUCUGCUUCUUGUUCUGUUUAACUCUUUUUCUAUUUAUUUAUAUACCAUUUGCUAAUCUUUCCCAUCGACUGUGAGGAAUAAGAUUUAGCUAACGCCUUAAAGGGGCACUCUCACUCAAGCUAGGUUCUUAUGAGUUUAUUUGAUUAGCUCUGUUUUUAGGGGUUUUUUUUUUCAGAAUGAGUUUUAGUAUAUAUAAUUUUCUAUUUACAGGUUAAUUUAAAGCCAAAGUUCCUACGACAUCUUGAAUUACGAAAAGAAAAUUCUAACACUACUGAAUCUUCAGAAGCAGGUAAACUAGAUGAUACAGGUUCCAUGUAUAAAAUCUAUCUCACAUCAAUUCACAACUUGUGUCCUUUUAUGGCCUGGUUUUGAUGUGUCACGUAAUUUCAGCUACAGUAUAAAGAAUCAGAAGGUUCAUCACACCGUGAAGGGACAUAUGCCGCAAUGCCGGAUACUCCAAAGGUCAGCAUCAUAACUUGAAUCGUCAAUUCUUACUGCAGUUUCAUCCUUGUAUGGAUAUAUUAUCUCUAAUCCUUUGUGUAUGAUCAGGAUCGCAUCUGAGCCAUUCAGUUUUGGAGGUACGUUUCCUUAAAUCUCCUUUGUUUCAGAAUUGUAUAUACCACUUAAUCAUCUCACUAACUUGCAAAGUGUGUGUCUGUUUCAGCUGAAAGACCAAUCAAGAAGGAACAAAAGCGCAAGGUAAUCCAGAUCAGAGUCUAGUCUUUGUAUCAUAUAUAUGGAUUUCUAUGAAAGUAUAUAAACCCUACACGGUCCUGGAAGACAAUCAGAUACUCCUUCACCAGCUCAUAAGAGGCCCAGAAAAUUGAGAGCAUCUGAUCUCUAACUGCAAUACUGAUUUCCAAUUUUAUGUAUGUGUAAUUUGCAAUUUUCAGUCACAAUGCACUAUUUGUCAGUUUAUAAAAGGAGUAAAUUUAAAACAUUAACGUAUAUAAUUUUUUUUGUUGCAUUUUUCUAUGUAAAAUCAUUAAUUAAUCUCUUGCGCCACAUUUUAUACACGAUUGAAUCACAUCAACUAAUUCAAUCGUUGCAUUUUUCUAUGCAAAAACAUUUAUUAAUAUCUUGAACUAAAAUUUGUAUAAAAUGAUUGAAUCACAUCAUCCGUUGCAUUUUUAUUUUAUUUUUCUAUGUAAUCACAUUUUUAAUCAUAACAGUUUCAAUUGAUAACAAAAUUAAUCCUGGUAAUCAUCACAGUGCAUCAGCUAAAACAGAUACCACACAUCACAUAAAGCAUCAGCUUCACAGGCACAAAUAAAGAGACUAAGAUUAAACAAGCAAUGGCUAACAUUUUUCACCAAUUGAGCCAAGUGAGAGAGGGUAGCAACUCCGUACGGUCUGCUCAGAAAAGCAUAAUAACAAAUAAAGAGGAAGACUUGAUAAGGGAAAACCGGAAAAUUGUAUAAAGCAUUGCUAUUUUGAUAAAACAAAUUGUCUUAAAAUGAAACAUCAUCAUUACACUCUUAUUCUCAAACAUAUCCAUAUCUUUCAGCUUCUAAAUAAAUAAAGGAAAUAACACGUGCAGUAGAUAUUGGAAACCAAGAAAGCGAGCUUUAGUCUAGGUAUUGUUAUCUUAACAUCCCUUAAUCCACAAUCAUUUACACCAUGCCUCUUUCCUUCGUUUUCUGAUAUGCUACAGAGAGUCUAUGUGAGGAAGAGAAGAGAAAGAUAGAGCGGAGGAGAGGAGGAAGAACAGAGUAUUGGCCGUUAGAGUUUGAUGACGUGGAUUUAUUCUGUUACGAGUAUUAGAGAAUAAGGGGAUUGUACUUGGGCCUUGGUAUAUAAGAGGACCCAAGCAAGAGAAGAUAGUUAGUCAGUUAGAGAGUCUUGGGCUUGCCCUUGAUUGAGAGAGAGAUUGUAUUCGGCUUAGUACUUCGACUUGUGAAGUCUAAGAGGGGUGGUUGGGUGGAUCUUAAUCAAUAAACAUCACAGUUCUAACAAAUUGGUGACGGUGAGCGCUCUGGAUAACGGAACUUCGCGCGAUUAGGAUGAAGAAUACGAGACUAGCCGGCGAGAAUCAAUCAGAUCAUCCGAUGACGGUGGAGUCUCUGGCAACGAUGUUACGCGAUCAUACGGCGUCGCAGGUUGAUACGAAUCGGCGAUUCGCUGAGUCGUUUCACGAGUUGGAGAGAAACGCGAAGGCGAUGGAAUCGCGAAUUGAAGAGACGUUGGAGGCGAAGAUCGAAGCAUGUUACGAGAAGAUGUGUGAUCGAUUGGAGAAGAAACUUUCAAAAUCGAUUGAUGUUUCGGACGAAUCUCCUCCGCCGUAUCGUCAUCCUAACUAUCAGGUACAUAACUCCACCUUGGAACCUGGCCGUAGCAUUAGGAAUGAGGAUGUGAGUGAUCGAACCACUGUAGUUGGUAGUCGCGAAAGAAUGUUGAAACGUGUGGAAUUACCUGUGUAUGAUGGUUGUGAUGCGUAUGGAUGGCUAGCUCUUGCAGAACAUUUUUUCAGGAUUGGCGGUUAUGAUGACCGAGCUAAAUUGGACAUGGUCUCAGUGAGUUUAGCAGGAGAUGUACUCAGCUGGUUUAACAGUGAAUCACAUCGCAGAGGGUUCAGAAGCUGGAUGGAGUUUAAGCAGAAACUGAUAGCGAGAUUCAACAAAGAGAAGUUCAGGGAUCCGAGAGAUGAGUAUGAGAACCAUUUAACGGACCCUGUAAGUGUAUGCUCUUGCUUUUAUUUUAUGUACAUGCUUGCUCUGGAUACUUGUCAAAUUUGUUGAUUGUGCUCCCAACUUGUAGGUGUGGACCAAGGAAGAGACAGAUCAGUUGUUUGAAUUGUGUGAAAGGUUUGAUCUCCGUUUCACUGUGAUUGCUGAUCGCUUUCCAUUAUCCCGGACUCUAGAGGAAUUGAAGGAUCGUUACUAUAGCGGUAUGUUUUGAACUUUAUACGUUCAUUUACACCAUGCCUCUUUCCUUCGUUUUCAUCUUUGUUUCUUUCUGUUUUUUAUUUCGCGUUGCACCAGGAUUCGUUUGAAUUUACGAGGACUGAGAAUUCUCUGACUUAACUUCUUUUUGUAGUAACUCUGGGCCCUGCUGCGUGCUAGAGCUCAGUGUUGGCAAACCAUCCUCUUAUAAAAGUCAACUUCCUCUUUUAUAUCUCUUAUUAGCAAACAUAUCUGUAAAUAGUAUUUCUCAAUAUCUCGGCAUAAGCAGGAGCCGUAUGAUAGGACACGCGAUAGAGAGCGCAAACGUGCAUUGUCUAUGGUCUUGUCCCAGAGUAGACACCAAGAGAAGAAAGAUGCAGAGGUUUUUCUCUUUAAUUUCUACUAAGCAAUUGUAAAUUAGUUCUUUGCUUUCUCUUACACAGUCUCCCAUAACUACAGAUUCUAGCUGAGGCUCACAGAGAUGCGUUUGGCUGCGCGUGUAAGUGUUUUCUUAAAAUCAAUGUACUCGCUCGUGCUAGCUAAAUUACAAUAGAUGAAUUACCAUGAAGAAAUAUACCCUUUUACCUUAGACGCAUAUCAUAAAUCUGUCGUCAUCAUUUUGUCUCUUAAAACGAUUGGUCUUUCUGGAUGUCCAGCGUGCGGCAGAGCCUGAUGUGCCUGCGAAUGAGAAUAUCGGUAGUGUAUCUCCAUCUUCCAAUUCUCAACUUCCUGCAACUGCCGUGGCUCCAUCCACACUAUCAAUGGCAGAUUAUGCCUCUACCCUUGCUUCUCUGCACAUGGUGAGUUUCUCCCUCUUCUCCUCUUUCAAUUUUCAUUUAGGUUUCCACUAAAGUGAUCUGAUCCUUUUGGUGAAAUUUUGUCAAAUUUUCAGCUUCAUGUAUACUUGAGAACCUAUGGACUUGAACAAAUGGUCCAAGCUGCAAGCUCUGCUGUUGGUCUUCGAACGAUCAAGCGCGUUGAGUAGACUCUGCAAGAUCUCGGGGUUUGUUUCUGCUUCUUGUUCUGUUUAACUCUUUUUCUAUUUAUUUAUAUACCAUUUGCUAAUCUUUCCCAUCGACUGUGAGGAAUAAGAUUUAGCUAACGCCUUAAAGGGGCACUCUCACUCAAGCUAGGUUCUUAUGAGUUUAUUUGAUUAGCUCUGUUUUUAGGGGUUUUUUUUUUCAGAAUGAGUUUUAGUAUAUAUAAUUUUCUAUUUACAGGUUAAUUUAAAGCCAAAGUUCCUACGACAUCUUGAAUUACGAAAAGAAAAUUCUAACACUACUGAAUCUUCAGAAGCAGGUAAACUAGAUGAUACAGGUUCCAUGUAUAAAAUCUAUCUCACAUCAAUUCACAACUUGUGUCCUUUUAUGGCCUGGUUUUGAUGUGUCACGUAAUUUCAGCUACAGUAUAAAGAAUCAGAAGGUUCAUCACACCGUGAAGGGACAUAUGCCGCAAUGCCGGAUACUCCAAAGGUCAGCAUCAUAACUUGAAUCGUCAAUUCUUACUGCAGUUUCAUCCUUGUAUGGAUAUAUUAUCUCUAAUCCUUUGUGUAUGAUCAGGAUCGCAUCUGAGCCAUUCAGUUUUGGAGGUACGUUUCCUUAAAUCUCCUUUGUUUCAGAAUUGUAUAUACCACUUAAUCAUCUCACUAACUUGCAAAGUGUGUGUCUGUUUCAGCUGAAAGACCAAUCAAGAAGGAACAAAAGCGCAAGGUAAUCCAGAUCAGAGUCUAGUCUUUGUAUCAUAUAUAUGGAUUUCUAUGAAAGUAUAUAAACCCUACAGGGUCCUGGAAGACAAUCAGAUACUCCUUCACCAGCUCAUAAGAGGCCCAGAAAAUUGAAAGCAUCUGAUCUCUGACUGCAAUACUGAUUUCCAAUUUUUUUUUUUUGAAUAAAUUUUAAAUUUUAUUUAUCCAAAACUUUUGUACAUAAGAAUGUGUAAACACUGUGAUUGAAAUAAAAACAAAGACAUUAUUCUAGUAUUUAAUACUCAAACUCUCUAUCCAAACCAUAUACUCAUCCCUCCAUUGCCUCCUAAUAGUAGAAAGCUUAUUUUUCACAGUUUUGUCAAUAUUCUUCAAAAGCAGCAUGUAUGGGAGCUCUUUUUCACUAUGUUUCCUGUGGUUUUUUUCUCUCCAUAUCGCAUGACCAGCUGCUUGAAAAGUGUACCUUAUCAAAAACCUCUUGAUUCUGUCCAAUCUAUGAUCCAACAAAAGCACAUUUAUCUCCUCCCAAUCUUCUGUGUAUCUAGACUGAAGCAAACCUCUUGUCAGACUUUGCCAAAUCCUACUCGAGUAAGAGCAUAGAUAAAACAAAUGAUUCCUCGACUCCAUUUGUUGCUUGCAAAGAACACACAGAGGAUCAAUAUUUGGGUUCCAUUUCAAAACUCGAUCACAUAUGGCCAGCCUAUCUCUCAUUGUUGUCCAUGUGUGAAAUGAAUAUUUAGGUGUGGCAUGCUUAAACCAUACCCCUUUGCUCCAAACUUGAUCCGCAUACACUUUCCUUAUCUCCAGCCAAGUGUUUUUUGAUGAAAAGGUUGGUUUGUAUUUCCCAUUCUUACUCCUCCAAAGGCCAAUAUCUUCUAUUUGAUGGUUCUCAUGCUUUAACUUCUCUAUCUCAUCCUCCACUUUAUUAAAUAUCUCAAUGCGGUGAUGUCUUCUUCUAUGCAUAUGCAUAGCUUCAGCAACUGUUGAAUUCACUAGAACUCCCAUCUCUAUGAAUCCCCUUGUGCCUAGCAGAUCCAAUAAUCGCCCCUUUGAACACCACAAAUCAUACCAAAAGGAAGUAGACUCUCCAUUCUUAACCUCAACACAAUGAAACCUUUUUGCAACCUCUCUCAUUUUGAGGAUUUUAUUCUACAUCCAAGACCCCAUUAUUGUGUUAUCCCUUAAAGCCCAAAGAGACCCUUUGCGCAUCAGAUAGCUUUUAAUCCAUUCCAGACUAACUUGAGACAGGAUACAUCAUUCACUUCAGUUAACGGUCUUAAUCCCAAUCCUCCUUCUGACUUCAUCUUACAAACCUCAGACCACCCCACUUUAGACUUGUUUGUUUUCAUUUCAGGACCAGACCAAAGGAAGGAUGCACACAUUUUUUCUACCUCAAGAAGGAAUUUCUUUGGCAUUCUAAACGCUGCUAGCCAGAAGUUUGUCAAACUCAUAAUCACCGAGUUGAUUAGUUGCAAACGGCCUGCAAACAAUAAAAAUCUCCCAUUCUAGUUACACAUCUUUAUCCUGACACUCAAAGGCAUGUAAUCUGAAACCGUCAUUUUCCUGGUAAGAGGCAAGCCUAGGUAUCUUACUGGGAGCUGUCCAACUGCAAAAGGAAAAUUCGCAAGAAUGGCGUGUUGAGUCUCCUGUGAGAUGCCAGCCAUGUAUAGUGUUGAUUUCUCUAGGCUGAUUUUUAAACCCGAAAGUCUGGCAAAUUCCUCAAACACCAGAAGAGUACCUUCCACCGACAUCUUCUACCCAUCUGAGAAUACCAUUAUAUCGUCUGCAAAGCAGAGAUUCGUCAAGGACACAUUCUUACAUCUUGGAUGAUAACCGAUCCUUCUGUCGGAAGCUGCUUUGUCCAGCAGCUUGGAUAGUACAUUCAUACAUAUCACGAAUAGAGAAGGCGACAGAGCACAACCCUGCCUCAAACCUCGAGUACUGAAGUAACCAGCCAGUUCUCCAUUAACCUGUAUAGAGAAUGAAGCUGUCGACACACAGAGUCUGACCCAAUGUAUAUAUUUUGCAGGGAAACCAAGAGCUUCCAGGGUUGUUAGGAGAAAAGGCCACUGCACAGAAUCGAAGGCCUUGGAGAUAUCAAUCUUCAUUGCACUUCUGGAUGAUAUCUCAGAUUUAUGAUAAUCUUUGACUAACUUAGUAACUAACAGGAGGUUUUCCAUUAGCAACCUAUCUUUAACAAAUGCAGACUGGUUAUUUGAUAUAAACUGUGGCAGAAUUCCCUUGAGGCGAUUUGCAAGCAGUUUAGAUAUCACUUUGUAAAGCACAAUACAACAUGAGAUUGGCCUGUAAUCUUUCAUCUCCUUUGCAUUCUCCUUCUUAGGUAUAAGUGUUAGGAUAGUGGAAUUGAUACCUUUCGGGAGAAAACCUUUAAGAAAGAAUGAUUGCACAGCAACGACUACAUCUUCUCCAAUGAUAGGCCAAGCCGCUUUAAAAAACUCUGGUGUGUAGCCAUCUGGUCCAGGCGAUUUGUUCGAUGGCAUUUUAAACACCACUGCUUUAAUCUCUUCUGCUGUGACCUCACUGGCCAGUCUCUCUUGGUCUCCUUCAGUACAACGAAACUGUAGCAAACUCUGUAGGUAUUCAACUGAAGGAGCUUCAUAAUCCACAGGUUUAUGGGUUAAGAAAUCAGUAAAAAACCUCUCUGCUUCUUUCUUUAUAUCAUCGUCAGUCAUGGCUAUACUUCCAUUCGGACAUAUCACCUCUCUGAUUGCAUUUCUUACUUCUCUUAUCUUAGCCGCAUUGUGGAAAUGUCUAUUAUUUCCAUCCCCCACUUCCAACCAAUGUAGCUUAGAUGUUUGUUUAUAGAACUCUUCUUCUAAAUCAGCAAGCUUUUGCCAUCUCUCCAACGCUUCACUCUCCUCUUUGAUAGCCUCAGAAGAUGGACACAUUAAGGUUUCUGUCUGCUUCUCACACAAAUGCUUAUAUGCCUCCUUUGUUUUUUUGGUAACUGCCCCAGCUUCUCUUUACUUAGAAUUCUCAAAGUAGGCUUAAGACCCUUUAAUUUUUUUCCCAACCGAUACAUAGCCGAAGUUGAAUGGAAUAAUUUUUAUGUUUCCCUCCAAUACCUCUCCACUGUUGGUUGGAAAUCUUCCAUUGUUGCUAUGACAUUCGUGAACUUAAAAGGUUUUCACUUCUUCUGUACUUCCAUUUCUAGAUGAAACCUACAUCUGAGCUGAUCAGAACACCCUCCUGAUUCAAAUACACUAUAAGCAUUUCGCAGACCAUGCAGAGCAGCAUCAUUCAUCAAUAUUCUGUCUAACUUUUUGCAUACUAGCCCCUCAUCCCUUUUAUUGCACCAAGUAUAAGUAGGACCAUGAAAACUCAUAUCGGUGAGAGUGCAAUAACUUACGGUGUCCUGAAAUUCUCUCAUUCCUGUGGUGAUGAUCGGAUUAUUAUCAUACCCUGAAUGCUCAUUUCCUUGUAAAAUCUCAUUAAAAUCACCAAAAACUAGCCAUUGUUUACCUCUAAACAUUGCUGAGUCUUUGUGAUUCCUCAAAUCUUCCCAUAACAUUCUUCUCUCCUCCAUAGUGUUCAGUGCAUAUAUAAAAGAACACAAUACUUCCUCUACUCUCCCCUCCAAGUUAACUGAACAUGCAAUCAUUUGGCUACUUUUAAAAACUGGAGUCAUCCUCACUGACGGCCCCCAAAGCACCCAUAUUCUUCCAAGAUAAUUGUACUCGUAAUUAGCCAUAAAUGACCAGUUUUGAAACGCUGAAUUUAAAAUAUUUCCUGCUUUACCUUCUUUUACUCUUGUUUCUAUAAGACUUCUAAACUGCAAUGACUGACUUCUCAACCACUCACGGACUACUGAAUGUUUAGUUGGUUUAUUAAAGCCGCUGGUGUACCAGAAGAACCCUGUCAUUGUGCUUUGCGAGAUUUCUUCUUUUUAUUCUGAUCACCAGGGCCAUCACCCCUAGCUCUUUGAACGGUCACACUCAAGAAUUUGUGCUUAUUUUUCGAACCCCUCGGCAAAUACUGUCUUGUGUUUAUUAUAUCUUCUUCAUUCUUAUACACUGAUUCCUCCAUUUCCAAAUCCUUGUCAUCUUCCAUAUCUUCAUCUUCUACUUUAUUUUCUUCCUCCAUAUCAUCUUUAGUCUCAGGUAUUUCACCUUCUUCCUCGUACGUACUUAGAACCGAGAACCUUGAUUUGGAUAGUAUAGAUACUUGUUCUUCUUUGUUUUUUUUUAUCAAACCAACUUUUAUAAAUAAAACUUAAACUCCAACCAUGGAGGAAUUGUUCAAGUACAGCAAAGCAACCAUACUGGUUAGAUAAACCGCUGCAUCAAAAGCUAUGCGGGAAACAAAAACACACUGGAUAGACGCAUACAUAGCACAUAAGCAACUUAAGAUAGAGAUACCUAAAGUGCUAGAAAGUGAGAUGAAGCCAUGGGAAUCAUAAGACACACACAGUGAACUACUGCCCGAACAAGCUGCAGCAUAAAAUGCAUGAAAGGCAGCAACAAAUUUGGCUAUAGAGGUGACCACGCACCAUCUUGAUGAGCCUGAAUAUAAAAAUGAAAUCCUCAGCAUUAAAGGAGCGUGAAAUUGUAUGAAACUCCACAGUCCGCCAACCAAAUCAGAAGCUAAAAAGCCAAGAUUGGUUUUUAUGAAAUCAUCUCCUAAUUUUCUAUAGCUUAUUCCUGAAAUGUUAGUUAAGAAAACCAACAUACAGAUAUAUUGCAAUGAACGUAAAAAGAGUAGAUUUACGACCUCAUACUGAGGUAAAUGGACCUCAUACUGAGGUAACAGAACCUCACCCUGAGGUAAGGGAAGGCUAAACCAAAGCCUAAAAACCUCAUACUGAGGUAAUGGAGGAUAUUGGGACCUUGAAUUUAGUUUAGUGAGACUUGAAGUGCAACAGAAACCAACCAAUUCUGACUCUAUCGAGGGAGUCACAAAGACCGUAUCUUUCAAAAAAAAUCCUAAGAGCAAAGGAGAGAAACUACACUUUCUCCAGUAGAACUAAACCCUGCAGACAGGAGUAUGGCGGAGCCAAGGCUUCACAAAGUUCACUCCUAAAGACACGAGCAACAAACAAGCUGAGCUAGAGGUCGUCGUACCAGAAACAAAAGGAGGCUCUGCAAUUUUGAGGGUGAAGGAGAACAGAUCCGGUGCACCAGAGUGGUCGGGAGGGUCGGGAAGGAUGGGAAGGUCCAGAGGAGCAAUCAUGGAUGCUAGAUCUAGAAGAAAAGUAACCGGCGGCGGCUCUGGAGGAGGAGGAAGGAGCAUAGGCGAACCGGAGAGACGUAGCACCAUGGAAGGAAAGAAGAGGAGAAAGAAAGGAAGAGGAGGAAGAAAGAAGAAGGUUCUCGUCGGUGAGCGAGAGGCCACACCGACGGCAGUGGAUCAAUUUAAAACCCUAAUCUGCCUCCAUAGAUACUUGUUCAAAUUCUAGUUGUUUGCUCUUUAUUGGUGUGCGACUCACUUUCCCUGGAGAGAUUUCCACCCAAAAUUUUUCCUUAUCAAUCACUGCUGUCUUUAUAUUAUCUUUCCCACAACUUCUUUUCUCCCUUUCAACUGAGCCAGCCAACUUGUCAACCUGCUUUCCUGCAACUCCAGUAACCUUUUCUUUUUCUGCUCCCACGACUGAAUCCACAACACCAGCCACUAGACCAACUACAUAACCAGAUACCAAACCAACAACUGAGUCUGCCACUAAACCAUCCACCUCACCAUUAACUAGACCAACCACUGACCCAGAUACUGAACCAGCCACUGAAUCUGCCACAUAACCAUCCACUGAGCUUACCACUGAACCCACUACCAAACCUUCCACUGGAACAUCUCUUCCCUCUGAACUGACCGUUUUGACAACUUCCACUGAGUCUUUAACUGAAUCUAUACCUCUGCUAGUUUUCACCAACUCUUCUUCUUCCAUAGUCUCAUCAGCUAUCCUCUUUCCUCUACACACUCUUGCUAAAUGACCCCAUUUUCCACAAUAUGUGCAUUUAUUUGGGAGCCACGGGUAUGAAUACUCUACCAGAGUGUCCUUCCCUUGUAAGUUGAAGUUCAUCAAUUUAGGCAGCUGCUUGGAUAAAUCCACCUUCACAAAUAUUUUUGCCACUUUCAGAUUCUCGCACUGCUCUGUCUCUGGAUGUAGCCGAACUGGUAUUCCCACUUGACUUGAUACAAAACUGAGACCCUUCCACGAAUACAUCUCCAUUGGCACAUUCUUCAAAUGGAUCCACAGCGGAAUAGAGUGUGUUUCUUGUUUAAUAUCCUCUGUCAACAGUGACCACUUCGCCAUGACUACCGGUAUCUCUGCAAUAUUCCACAUCGACCUUCUCAAGAUUCUGUUUCGAAUAAUAGGAUUACUCACCUUGAACUUCAUAGUUGUUGAAUUAAUCACAUGAACAUCAAUCAUCUGCGACUUGUAGCUCAAUGCCCAGAUUUUGUUGACUAUCGCGUGAACUUUCGCGAUGUCUGGAGCCUUAUCUAGGAAUCUCCCAAUGAUAAAAUCUUCCCAUAGAGGAGAGGCAUCCGUGAAUACUUCCUCCGGUACAGUCACAGAUCCGAUCCCAUCCAUCAUCUGAAUAUCCAUAUCGUACUUCUUUAAGACCUUCUUCCCUUGAACAGCGUUAACCCACGAUCGCGGUUUCAAUCCUUCCAAACCUCCUUGAUCCCUCUCUUCUCGAUCCUCCAUGUUUGACCCCUUGUUACCUCGAUCAUCCUCCGGAGAGUUCACUGGAAGAUCCCGAUCCCCCAUUGGAGACCUUGAUCUAGAACCGGCAGAGAUCUCUGUGAAGUUACCCUCGAAACCUAAGUCGCCUUCAAAAUCGCCUAAAUAGUGUCACUCCGAAACAGUGCGUUUUAAGAACAUUUCCGAUAUUACUUGAUUUCCAAUUUUAUGUAUGUGUGAUUUGCAAUUUUCAGUCACAAUGCACUAUUUGUCAUUAAUUAAUCUCUUGCGCCACAUUUUAUACACGAUUGAAUCACAUCAACUAAUUCAAUCGUUGCAUUUUUCUAUGCAAAAACAUUUAUUAAUAUCUUGAACUAAAAUUUGUAUGAAAUGAUUGAAUCACAUCAUCCGUUGCAUUUUUAUUGUAUUUUUCUAUGUAAUCACAUUUUUAAUCAUAACAGUUUCAAUUGAUAACAAAAUUAAUCCUGGUAAUCAUCACAGUGCAUCAGCUAAAACAGAUAUCACACAUCACAUAAAGCAUCAGCUUCACAGGCACAAAUAAAGAGACCAAGAUUAAACAAGCAAUGGCUAACAUUUUUCACCAAUUGAGCCAAGUGAGAAAGGGUAGCAACUCCGUACGGUCUGCUCAGAAAAGCAUAAUAACAGAUAAAGAGGAAGACUUGGUAAGGGAAAACCGGAAAAUUGUAUAAAGCAUUGCUAUUUUGAUACAACAAAUUGUCUUAAAAUGAAACAUCAUCAUUACACUCUUAGUCUCAAACAUAUCCAUAUCUUUGAGCUUCUAAAUAAAUAAAGGAAAUAACACGGCAGUAGAUAUUGGAAACCAAGAAAGCAAAAGAAUCAGAUGAACUGGAUGUUGUUGCAAUUUGAUGAAACUAUGGGGAGAGUUAACAAAUUUUCAACGAUCAUUCUCGCUCUCUCUUGUUGCUCUGUAAUAAUACGGUCAAACUAAUCAGUGAAAGAUCACCACAUAUCUUUGCAUAUUCUCAUUCAGCAUGUGGACUUAUUCGGUCAAUAAGCGUUUACACGCUAGUUCUUGGUCUAACCACCAAGAUCACAUCAACAGAUCCCAACCGGUCCAUUCCCUUUUAUCCGCACGUCAGCAUCGUCAGCAUCGCGUGGCUCACGCUUUUCCUUGUCCAAAUCUCCGUCGGUUUAGGCCUGGGAGCGAACGUAACUUCUUGAGCAGGCUAGUGUUUUUCUUUGGUAUUCACGAGGUAAUGCUUGUGUGGUGUAGGGUGAUCGUGAGACCGGUGGUGGACAGCACGAUGAUGGGAGGAGAGGCAUGUCAUCACCGGAGAGAAGAGACUGUGGUGGAGAGAGUGGCUUUGGCCGUGAGCUGUGGGAAGUUGUGGUGGUGGAAUUUCGAUCGGGAUGAAGUAGAGGCUUUGGUUGGUGUGGCUGAGGCUAAAAGAGCGUUGUUGCUGUUAUUACCAAUCAGUGGUAAUAAUGUUAACGUUGGUUUGGAAGUGGGAAUGGUUGAUUUUGUGAAUGGGUGGUUAUACUAUAUAGUUGUCACGAUCGGUAUGGUUAGGAUCGUUAAAGGGUCUCUAUGGUUUGGACUAUGAUUUGCAAUAUAUUGGUUUGUACACAACAGUACACAAGGUCAUUCGACAUCAACCAAAGUUACUCAGACUACACAACUUCAGACUUUCUACACGGCCCCUCUAAUCCUGACCACAAAUCCUCAGCCUCUAAAACCACAAAACCUCAGACCCUAUUGACCACAGGUUCUGAGCUUAAUUAACUAAUCACAACUUCCAUCCCCUAGUUCCUAACCUAACCACAACAAAAAAAAAUUCAAAUUCUUUUGUUUUUGGUUUCUUGAUGUUUUUUGUUCUGUAAAUUUUAAAAAUUCCAUUAGUAUCUGUUCUUGACCACAACUAGCAAAAACCAUCUUUUAGCCUAUUAUCCAUGAUCCACCUUCAACUUAACUGUCUAUAAGAGCUGAAAGAAAAGCAAAAACAAGAAGAAGCAACUUCAAUCUUAGGCUUCUAAGAAGAAGCAAACGUGUUUAGGAUGUUUCUCUUGAGAGUGAGUUCCUCAGCUUUCAGCGGACUUGUAGACUGCACAGGAAAACACAGUUAGAAAAAAAUGUCAAUACAAAAGUCUUACUGUUUCUCGAUUGCAAAGCAAUAAUCUAAUUACUAAGGACUGAGAGGAAGAAGAAGAAAUGAUGUUUAGACCUUGCUAAUGAGUCGUCCAAGCAGCUUAGCUUCUUUGGUAGCAUAGCCUGAACCAUUUUCUGUGUACUGCUUUGCAAGUGAGGUGUAAAGCAUUCCAUACCUAUUUUAUAUAUACAAAAAAAAAACUUUACCAUUCAAGUGUAACUAUAAAACGCUAAUACUACAACAUACCUUGCUGUGGAGCCCUUAAGGUUGCCAGCUUCCUCUUCGAUGCGAGACAAGAUUGCCUUCUUCUCAUCUUCACUGGCUGCAACUAGCUCCUUUACCAACGUGUCUAAGCUUUCCACUAUACCAGCCUAUCAAACAAGAGAGAUGAAUCAACAAAAGCUUUCAAACCUUAGAUAGAAAUUGCAAUACUAAGAUAGAAACAUGUUUUUUUAAACCUUUGAGGUAAGCUUCCCUUUGCUGUCUCUGCCGGUUCCAACUUUCUCGUUGAUGAAGCUUACAAAUUCAUCUAAGUUCCUUCCACCAUCAUACUCCUGACCGGUUUUGUUGUCCUUUGGGAAGAACUUUAAGGUUGGGAAUCCACUUACUCCAUACCUGUGGGAACAAAAUGAAGGUUAGCGGUUUUCAUCUUUAGUAUUCUACAAAUUUAAUACAGCGAUAUCCAUCGAUGAGUAAAAAAUAUUACUUCUCGCCAAGGCUUUUGUGAGCAUCAGUAUCCAACUUGGCUAUGACCACACCUUCUUCAUGCUUAAACACCUCGGCUACCUUUGUAUACACGAGGGACUUGCACUGGCCGCACCUGGAAGAUUUAAAACUAAGAAAUUAGAAAAACGGCAUGGAAGAAAGCAAAACCAUGAGAGUGAAGGGAAGAGAUAGAUAGUAGUAGUACCCUGGGGCAUAAAACUCGACCAAGACAUCUUUGUUCUGAUCCAGUACAAUCUCAUGGAAGUUAUCAGGUGUUAAGACAACAACAUUCUUCUUCUUCUGGUACUCACGAAAUUCAUUUAUCUUGCCAAGCCAGAAGUUUUCGUACGCAAUCAUAUUCUCGCUACUCUCAAGGUGUUCCUGUGCCUUUUGGCCAGCUUCCUCUGCUAACUUAGCCCACGAUUCGGCCUCGGCCGUAUUCCCUUUUUCACGGGCAUCCCUUGCUUCGGCUUCAUAUUUCUUCUUCCUUUCUACUUGAGCCAGAUAUUUUUUCAUCUCCUCUUGCUGAUUAACAACACAGUAUGUGGGGUGGUAAGCCCUCAAAAACUUCAAGAGCUCUGAUUCAUCUUCAAAAGCGUCCACGUUGAUGUCUGGCAACUCAGAUUUUUGCGGUUUGUAUGAGAAUCCCCUCAUCUGCAUCGAUGGAGCCAUCAUCUUCAGCUGCAUCAUCUUUCCUCUGGAGGAAGGAGUUGACACGACACCAGAUUUAGCUGAGCUACCACUCCCCCACUUAGCUGUUUCUCGACCUGAAUCCCCUCUGAAGAUCAGUUACAUAAGACAAUGUUAAGAAUGUGUAUAUAUGGAAAAAGGUAAAAUAAUUAAUUACAGAAGCGAACUUACUUUGCUGGUUUGCUCCAACUUCAAGCCCUUCAAUAGCACUCUUGAAGUCUUCAAGAUGGUUCCCGACAUCUUCCUCAAACUUCUCGUGGAUCAUUCUCAUAAUCUGUUGAAGCGUUACAGAGCAUCCCCUUGAUCCACUGUUGAGAUUUGUCUCGAUACCGAGCUUUUGGUGUGAUGUUCCUGUCAACAAGAGAUAUAGCGUUUAGGCAAAGACUUUUUUCUCAAAAGCUCUCUUGCCAAUCUAGCUUUGAUACUUUCUCUACACAAGUGCUCUAUCGUAAAUGAUUAUGUUUCGCAGCAGUUCUUCAACGUUAUGAUUCGUUAUAGGGAAAAGCUAGAAAGGAAGACAGAAGUGAACAUACUUUGUUUCUUAAUGCUUCCUUUCAACUCUGAGUGGUUUGCUUCAAGCCCUCCAAUAGCACUCUUGAAGUCUUCAAGAUGGUUCCCGACAUCAUCCUUAAACUUUUCAUGGAUCAUUCUCGUUUUCUCUUGUUGCUCUGUAGUAAUACGGCCAGACUAAUCAGUGAAAGAUCACCACAUAUCUUGCAUAUUCUCAUUCAGCAUGUGGACUUAUUGACGAAAACUCUUAAGACAAGCCAGACACGCAAGUUGUAUAAUUCUACUCCCCUUAUAGGAAUUGAGCAUAUAGCUCUGUUUUGAGGAACUACGUGAAUAGUCAGUUUUGUAUCGAUAAAAGAACCUAAAUCAGAGGUAUAUAUAUCAUUGAUCACUGAACAAUAUAUGGGUGGAUAGUGUACAAAAUACGGUACUAGAAUGAAGCAAGAGUUAGUUAGUGUCGACCUUGAAUCAUCACAGUAUGAUUGAGUAAAAUGGAAAGGUUAUACACUACAGUGAUCAAGAUAUGAUGUACCUUGUGGUCUUGUUUCAGCGGGUUCUCUCUUAGUUUUGGCUACGUUACUCCUCGUCUUUUCCCUGUUGAGAUUUGUCUCGAUACCUCCUUCAAAAUGCGUGAUGAGCUUUUGGUGUGAUGUUCCUGUCAACAAAGAGAUGUAGCCUCAAGUGAGUUUAGGCAAAAGACUUGUUAUGGUGUUUACGCAAAAGACAUGUUAUGGUGUCACCACAUAUCGUGGAUCAUUUUCUCUUGUUGCUCUGUAAUAAUACGGUCAAACUAAUCAGUGAAAGAACACUACAUAUCUUGCAUUGAAGACAACUCAACACUCUCAAGACAAGCCAGACACGCAAGUGUAUAAUUCUACUCCCCUUACAGGUAUUGAGCAUAUAGCAUUUUGGCAUGAGUAAGAAUUAAUGAUAAUAGUAAGUUUCGUAGCAAUAUGAGAGAACCUACCAAAUGUAUACAUAUCAUCUAUUAUCACUGAAUCAGGAGUAGACCACUAAGACAGUAUGUUUUGGGUAAAAUACAAAAGUUAUAAGCUCUUGUUGUACCUAGUGGUCUUGUUUCAGCAGGCUCGCUCUUAGUUAUGGGUACGUUACUCCUCGUAGAUUUCAGCUUUUUCUCAAAGUUUUGAAGCGCAACAGCCCUGAGACAUGGCAUAUUAAGUAAUCAAAUUAAGACCAAGGAAAGGAGACAUAAUAAUAAUUAAGGUAGAAGAAAAUAAUAAUAAUAAUAAUUAAGGUAGAAACGUAAUAUUAGUUAAGUCUAAUAAAAAGAGACCUUCCCAAGCCGGCGGCGAGGGGAUGCUUUCUAGGAAGAUCGACAAGUCCUCUGCCGUUGUAACCGUUUAUAUUCAUCCACUCCGGGUAAAUGUUUUAUAUACGUCCAUGUACUUCACCAAUUUAGAGAGACUGAUCCAAGACUUGAGGCGAGGGUAUGUUUUGGGAAACAGCUGCGGAACGAGACUCUUCGGAGAAGGAUAGGCCGAGAACAAGGGCCAGUGCUCUGCUUCACGACGUAAACAAACAUCAGCACCAAUAUUCAUCCAAAACUCAGAAGGGAAAAACAAAAAAAAUAGAUCUGAUUACUUGUAGCUUCUGGUAGUGGAGGAGAGACUGGCGGUUAUAGUAGGGAGAGCCGUCGUUAGGGAUUUUAGCUGCGCCGGCGGCGAGGGGAUGCUUUCUAGGAAGAUCGACAAGUCCUCUGCCGUUGUAACCGUUUAUAUUCAUCCACUCCAAGACUGAUCCAAGACUUGAGGCGAGGGUAUGUUUUGGGAAACAGCUGCGGAACGAGACUCUUCGGAGAAGGAUAGGCCGAGAUCUUGAGAACAACCGCGAUAGCGUAGAUGCCAUCAUCUUUGGAUUUUACAAGAGAAAAAAAAAAAAAAAAAAAAAAAAAAAAAAAAAAAAAAAAAAAAAAAAAAAAAAAAAAAAAAAAAAAAAAAAAAAAAAAAAAAAAAAAAAAAAAAAAAAAAAAAAAAAAAAAAAAAAAAGAGUAUGAGGAUGAAGAAGCGCUAGAGAGAGAAUUGGAGGGGAUGAAGAAGAGCUAGAGAGAGAAUUGGAGGGGAUGAAGAAGCACUAGAGAAAGUCACCGACCUUGGGAGCAGAUAUAUAUAGAGAGAGAGAGAGUGUGUGUGUGUAGGAGAGAGAGACGGUAAAACAAAUAAUCACAUAAUUAAGACAUGCCGCAUGUUUCAUAUGAUUUGAAAAAUAAUGAAACAAUCCCUAUGCUAGUACUAAUUAAUACUACUACUAAAAACAUUUUAGUUAUCCAAUUACUAAUCAGUAUAUAGUGGGGACCACUGAGAGAGAGUGUGUGUGUACGUACGCGGAGAGAGGAAACCACAGAGAAAUUUUUGUUAUUUUCUUCCCCGACACAGGGACCCACGUAAUACUUCCUUAGGGAUUCGAAAUUUGUUAUCCGUCUAGUGUUAUACCCUAAAUACAACCAGUGACGAGCCUUCAUAUUUGCAUGUCACGUAAUUGAUCCCUUUGUUUCAGUUAUAUUCAACAAACAGGACAUUCUUUCAUUCAAUAUUCAAUAACAUCCAUAAUGUUUGUUAUUCACAUACAUAAUAUACUUUGUUCACUAUAUAUAGACAAUUUUAAUUUGUAAUUUUGAAAAUAUGUGAAUAAGAGAAACAAAAAAAAUCUAAACCCACACCAAUAACCAAGUAUGGAAAUACGUAGGUCCCAUAAGAUCUCCAAAUGAACCAUUCUUAAAACACUGUGGUGGUAUAUAACGACAAUAUUUAGAUUCUACAAUUUUGAUAAUGCUGAUUACAAAUAUGAUGCGUUAACCGCAUCUCGAGACCGUUAUUCCGAUUACAAUUUUGAUAACGACAAUAUUUCCAUUCUUUUAUCACGUUUGUGAGUUCUUUUCGUGGUCCGUUAUUUUGUUAAUUAAUUUAACAUAAUCAUGAUUACAAACAUGCGCGCGCGUUAACCGCAUCUCGAGACCGAACUAAUUUUAUAUUUCAAGGGUUUUAUCUCUUUAUUUUUAUGUCACAUAUAGAUUUAUACCAAAUGGAAUGAGAUGCGGAGCAAAUAAGCACGUUAUAGUUUAUAUAUAAAGCUUUGAUUCUAAAAAGGCAAAGAGUCAGACCUGUAUCGAACAACAACUAUGCAUUACAUGUGCGGGUUAAAGAUAUGAUAUCUAAUCAACCAAAAGGACUAUUGAAAUCAAAUAUUAAGAGAUUAAAAUGUUUUUUUUUUAACUAAAAUUUUCAAGAUUAAAAUGUUUUUAUUUUCAUUUUUCUUUUCAGAUUGUGUGUAAGAUUAAGAUAUGAAGCACCAAGGUGAGAUGAGUCUAUAAAUUAAUGUAUAGCUGCUCUACUUGAUUUUCUGGGAAGAUGUUAUGAUAAACGGAGAGAGAAAGUUGUACAUCCAUUCCAUUUCAUAUUUUGUAUGUAUAGUUCUAUAUAGGAGUGUGUGUGUGUACGCGGAGAGAGAAAGUUGUACAUCCAUUCCAUUUCAUAUUUUGUAUGUAUAGUUCUAUAUAGGGCUGAGCAAAAAAUCCGGAUCCGAAGAACCGAACCGAAUCCGAUCCGAAAAAGUAGUAUCGAACCCGAACCAAAAUUGAUUAUAUAUCCAAACGGAUUCAAAAUUUUGGUAUUUAAAAAACCAAAACUGAACCCGACCCGAACUGAAGUAUUUCGGGUACCCGAUUAUAUCUGAAAUAGAUUUAUAUACCUAUAUAUAUUAAUUAUUUCUAAAUUUAAUGUAUAUUAGAAACAUUCAAAAUAUAUAAUAUACUUUUUAGUUGUUCAAAAUACUUGAAAAUAUGUACAAAUAGUCAAAAAUACAUGUCUACUAUAGCUAAACUAUACUCAAAACACUAAAAAUACUUAAAAUAUCUAUUGAUUCUUAAUUCAAAUAUUCAAACCAAACCAAUUUAUAUGUCGAUUUUAGGUAUUUUGACACGUGUUAUUCAAAUUUAUAUGUAAUAUAUUGUUUUGUUUAUAGAUUUUGAGAAACUUAAAGCAUAUAAUAAAUUUAAAAAAUUUAAAAGUAAUUUAAAUGGGCUAUCUAAACCCGAAUCGAACCCGCAAAGAUCUGAACCGAACCCGAACCGAAAUUUAGAAAUACCCGAACGCGACUAAAAUCUUUGAACCCGAAAACCCAAAAUCCGAAUAGAUCCGAACCGAACCCGAAUGGAUACCCGAACGCCCACCCCUAGUUCUAUACCAUAAUAUAUAAAAAAUAGAUUUGCAUAAGUAAGAUCGCAAAGAGAGAAAGUUGUAAAGUUGUACAUCGAUUCCAUUUCAUAUGACAUUUCUUUUAUCACGUUUGCGUUCACUAUAGACUUUUAAUUUGUAAUUUUUAAAAUUAUGUGAAAUAAGAUAAUUGGAGGGGAUGAAGAAGCGCUAGAGAGAGAAUUGGAGGGGAUGAAGAAGCGCUAGAGAAGAAAGUCACCGACCUUGGGAGCAGAUAUAUAUAGAGAGAGAGAGAGUGUGUGUGUGUGGGGGGGGGGAGAGAGAGACGGUAAAACAAAGCAAGACAAAGAUCAUAAUUUCUCAAAUAAUCACAUAAUUAAGACAUGCCGCAUGUUUCAUAUGAUUUGAAAAUUAAUGAAACAAUCCCUAAGCUAGUACUAAUUAAUACUACUACUAAACAUUUUAGUUAUCCAAUUACUAAUCAGUAUAUAGUGGGGACCACUGAGAGAGAGUGUGUGUGUACGUACGCGGAGAGAGGAAACCACAGAGAAAUUUUUGUUAUUUUCUUCCCCGACACAGGGACCCACGUAAUAUUUCCUUAGGGAUUCGAAAUUUGUUAUCCGUCUAGUGUUAUAAGACUCCAUAAAUACAACCAGUGAUGAGCCUUCAUAUUAGCAUGUCACGUAAUUGAUCCCUUUGUUUCAGUUAUAUUCAACAAACAGGACAUUCUUUCAUUCAAUAUUUCUUAACAUCCAUAAUGUUAUUCACAUACAUAAUAUACAGGUAGACGUAGAUUCCAUUUCAUAUGAGAUUUCUUUUUAUCACGUCUGUGUUCGCUAUAGACAAUUUUAAUUUGUAAUUUUGAAAAUAUGUGAACAAGAGAAACAAAAAAAUCUAAACCCACACCAAUAACCAAGUAUGGAAAGACGUAGGUCCCAUAAGAUCUCUAAAUGAACCAUUCUUAAAACACUGUAGUUCUAUACCAUAGCCCAUAUAUAAAAGUUAGAUAUAAAAAAGAAAUUUUGCAUACAAAGAGAGUAUGCCAUUACAAACACAGAAAGACAAUUUUUAAAAGCUAAACUUUUCUUUUUUUAUAUACAUUACACUCCUCUCUUUGCUCUCUGCUUUUUACAUAACACGAACGCUAAUAUGAAUCAAAUUUGUAUAGUAGUAAUACCCCUAAACAUGUCUCCUAAAUCUCUAUUAUCAUAAGCGGCUUAGUUAAAAUCCUUUUGUGAAAAAAAAACAUAACUAAUAGUUAUGGCUAAAACAUUGAACAAGACAUCUUUUGCUUUCCAAUAAACAUAAAGAAUUUUCAAAAUUUUAAAAGAAUGAAUUGAUAAAUAAAUAAAAAUUUACAAUCUCUUUGCCCUCUACUUUAUUGGCUCGUCAGAUAAAUAUUAAGGGUUGUGAAAAAAAGAUACGAAAUGAUGCUAAUUUGUCUCUUUUGGGAGCGACUGACCUAUGUGGCGUACCUAUGUAUGUGUGUAAACUCAAACAUAUGUGAUCGUUAACGCUUCAUUUACUUUGAAGAGGUCGGACGUCACGCGUUUCCUGUACCACAAGUACCCAAUAUUAUAUAUGGUAGGUAGAUUUAGUAUAAUUAAUUAUUACCAACAACGAUGUUAAAAUAUUGUAGAUAUUUUUAAAAUUAGAUAUUUAUACUGAUAUUACUCCAAAAUGUGUUUAAGUUUGGCUUCAGAUGACGAAACGAAGAUACGGCUUGUGACAAGUAAGAAAGAAAUUUUAUUAUGUCUAGUAUUUUGAAUACAAAAGCAUUAUAUUAUUUUGUACGUAUAGUUCUAUACCAUAAUAUAUAAAAAGAAAUUUUGCAUUAGUAAGAUCGCAAAGAGAGAAACAAUCAUGAAACAAUCCCUAAGCUUCUUUUAGUACUAAUUAUUAGACAUACAUUAAAAAUUCAAUUACUAAUCACUGAGACAAGACCACGUCGUUUGUCUCUCACGUGACAAGAGGUACUAUGUCUAGUAUUUUGAAUACAAAAGCAUAAUAUUAUUUUGUAUGUAUAGUUCUAUACCCAUAUAUAAAAGUUAGAUAUAAAAAAGAAAUUUUGCAUACAAAGAGACUAUGCCAUUACAAACACAGAAAGAAAAUUUUUAAAAGCUGGACUUUUUUUUUAUAUAUACAUUAUACUCCUCUUUUGGCUCUCUGCUUUUUACAUAACACGAACGCUAAUAUGAAUCAAAUUUGUAUAGUAGUAAUACCCCUAAACAUGCGGAGACACGCGUCUUCUAGCCCUUGUUACCCCGCCGUCUGAGACUUUCCUUAUUUGGCUUACGGCUUGUGACAAGUAAGAAAGAGGCGUGACCAUUUUUUUAAAGAGAACAAAACAAUGUGAAAAGAAGAUGAUAGCUCAGAACAUUAAAUUAAGUGAGACAAAACGUCUAGUUUCUCUGUCUCAAAAAUAUCACACACUUUCUGCCAGUGGUCCCGGUCAAAAGUGACCAUAAAACCCAUUAUAUAUGAACCAACGAAAAAGUCAGAGAAAUUCGUAUAUUUAAUAUUAAACAUUCCUAGAACACACGCUUUAACAUAAACGACAAUGUAUUACUCUAUCUCUUUCCAAAUAUAUGAUGUUUAGGUAGAAAUACACAUAUUAAUAAAGCUAUUUUUUCUAGAAAUUAUCAUUAAAACUAUAAAUUAAUAGUAUUUAACCAAUUACAAAAUAGACUAUUAAAAUAUGAUUGGAUGCACAGUUUUUAAUAAAAUAAAAGUUACCUAGAAAAACGAAAACAUCUUAUAUAUUGGAACAUCAAAAUUCUGUAAAACAUCAUACUUUUAGGAACAGAUGGAGUAUGUUAUUUAUAUCGUGCGGGUUCGGGUGGGGUCCACUGAUCGGGCUCGGUUCAGAUUUCGUGGGGUAGGAGUACUCAAAGUAUUAAAUAUUUAGAUUUAGUAGUGUACUUAGAAUUUAUCAGUUCGGAUUCGGUUAGAUCCGAGUCGAUUCGGAUCUCAGAUAGUUGGAUCCAAUAAAAUAAUUAGAAUUUGUCGGUUCGAAUUCGGAUCAGAUUCGGUUUAGGUUAUGUCGGGUCCUAUUUUCGAAAAAAUUCCAAAACACAAAAGAUACCCGAAAAUAUACGAAAUUUAAUCCAAAAUCUGAUAAAACAUGAAAAAUAUCGACUUGAAAAAGGAAAUGAAGUCAAAAGAAGGGUUUAGUGGAGUUUUGGUCUUGUGCAAAGUUAGGACACGACCUCCGGAGAUUGUCUGUCAAGAUUUCAGAAGAGUUAAGGAGAAUUCAUGAAUGUCCAGAAGCAUCCAAAUCAAGCGUGCAAAGUUAGGGUCAAGUCCAUGAGGGACUUAUACAUCAUUUGGAGUCAGUUGGGCGAUGGUGCAAAUAUAAGGUCAACCACAUUCGGAUUCAGAUCGAUUCAGUUUGGUCAUGUCGGGUCCGAGCCCAAAAAAUAUCCAAACCACACAAAAAUACAUGAAAAUAUUUAAAUAUCCAAAAUAUCCAAAAUUUAUCCAAAAUAUGACCCGAAAACAUGAAAAUGCUGACUUAAAGAAAGAAAUGGAGUUAAAAGAGGAGUUUGGGUCUUGUGCAAAGUUAGGUUGUCUGCCAAGAUUUCAAGAAAGUUUAGGAGUGCUCAUGAGUAUCUAAAUGGGUGUUCAAAGUUAGGGUCAAGUCUAUGAGAGACUUAGACAUCAUUUGUCAGUUGGGUGAUGGUGCAGAGAUAUAUAUGGUCGACCUAAUAAAAAUAAUCAAAUUUUUAUCUGAUUAUCGGAGUUAUAUUUUUAGAAAUCUAAAAUUUUACCUAAAACAUAAAACCCAAAACCAUAUGCACUCAAAUCCAAAACUUAAAAAAUAAUCGUAAUACCAAAAUAUAUUGAAAUACCUAUAUAUACGUGAUAUAUAGUAGAAGUCUCGGGUACUUCAUCAUGUCUCAGAUUCGGAUUGGGUCGAGUCGAAGACCCGCAGAUCUUUCAAAACAAGAUCUGAUGGGGUUAGAUGACAUUAUUCGUAGCUGAUCCAAACCGAUCUUUUUGGGAUCAAUUUCAGUUCGGUAUUUAGAUCCGGAUAAAAUGCCCAAAACCUAAAUUUAUUAUGAUGUGUGUAUACGAGAGAGAGGACAAGAAAAAGAAAAAAAAAUCAACAAAGCUGACACAUACAUCUUUGAACUCUACGCACGGUUACCUAGGCUUUCCGAUUUUGGCUUAGAAUUUGUGACAACUAAGAACGUGAGACUUGCGAGUGUGACCACUCUGGUAUCAUAAUAAAAUAAUGUGUGAGGAGACAACUUCUAGUAUCUCUGUCUCAGUUAAUGAUCCGGGUCAAAUAUCAUUCAAUAAAACCCAUAUACGAGUAUAUAUGUAUGUAUAUUUUUUGAGGAAAAUAUGUAUGCAUAUGCUAUGGCCUAAAGCUGACACGUUUGAGUGUGUAAUUAAUUAAACGAAAAUCAACAGGAAGACCCUCGUUUUGCUUGCAGAUAAAGUAAAAAACUUUUUCUAUGAUCUUUCUUUUAUUGAUCUUAAUGAAGUUUGAACUAGUAUAAUUGUUUUUAAGAAUAAAUAAUCACAUGAGAUUUCUUUUAUCACAUUCGUGUUCACUAAAGACUUUUAGUUUGUAAUUUUUAGAAAAAUAGGUGAAUAAGAAACAAAAAAAAGUAGGUUUUAGCAAAACAUAAAAAAAAAUAUGUGGGGUAUAAACUAUACCAAGAACCGAACGCCUAGACGACGGUCCCAUAAAAUCUUUAAAUGAAACAAAACGCUUUAAAUAACGACAAUGAUUUUACUAUCUGUUAACUAAAGGAUAUAACUAACAUUUUACUUUUUCUUUAAAAGUUUUAUCAAACAAUAGUGACGUCGUCCAUCCAUCCGUAUUGUCUCCGUUUGAACAUUGAAGGUCCCCCCAUGUGUUACUUUUUCUUUUGAAAAUCUUCUGUAUUUUUCAUAUACUUAUUAUUUUGGUCUGAUAGUCUUUAUAGUUAGUUCCCAAUAAAAAAAAUUUCUGUAUUUUUCAUUAUUAUUCUUUUUGGUCUGAUAACAUGAAAAGUGGGCAGGGCACCGUAUGGUUUGUGAGUUCUUUGCGUGGUCCCUUAAAUUGUUAUUUAGAAGUGCGAGAUCCCUUAACUCCUUGAUCGCCGGAAAAUUAACCGGAAGUUCGAAUAUGCUCUGAGUGAAGGAGAAGAGAGAGGCGGGCAGAUUGAAACUUUUUCGAUUUUCGCAAAUGGUUAAACAUAAACCUUCCUUUAGCUGAAUUUGCAUGUGUACGGACGCAGACAAGUUGACGCUUUUAACCCUAUUAUCCAUGCCUCUCCUCCUCCUUGUACUCAACAGAUUGAGCUUGUUUCUUAUCUCCUUAUCAAUGAGUUUCUUCAAAAUGGAAAUAGGCAUCAGCUUCUCCCCAUAUCGAACAUUAUUCCUUACCCUCCAUAUAGCAUAGACAGCAGCUUAAAAGGCGUAUCUUAUGCAGAAAAUACUCUUCUUAUCAUAACCCCCACUCGAGAUUAUCCUCACCAUUUCAGACCAACCAUUUGUGAAAGCAUUACCCAAAAUACCUUUUACGAGAUGUUCCCACAGCUGCGUAGCAUAAGAACAUUCGAAAAAUAAGUGAUUUAGAGUCUCCACAUCAGUCUUGCACAACACAUAGGUAGUAUCUGUCCCCUGGCUCCACCUCGAUACCCUGCCCAUGGUGGAUAAUCUUCCCCUCAUGGCUAACCAUGUCAUGAAUGCAUGCUUAGGUGUAGCCAUUGAGAACCAAGUCCCUCGUGUCCAUAGACAUUGCACACUUGUCCCCCUUAACAACAUCCAAGUUUCAUUUGUUGAGAAAAUCUCUCGAUACCCCGACCUCCUCCUCCAGAUACUGACAUCCAUCUUCUCACUCUGAAUCUUACUUCUCACAGAUUCAAGAGCCUCCUCUAUCUCUCGCAAAACCUCUGAUCUAUGUUGUCUUCUCCGUCUUAAAUUCAGCACCGCUUCCUCCAGAGUGGCUUCCUUUCUUAUACCCAAAGCAAUAAACCCUCUCUCGCCCGCAAGAUCAAAUAUCACACCCUUUUCAGACCAGCAAUAAUACCAAAAAGAGAUGCGUCUCCCACUGCCAAUUUCUAAUAUGUAGAAUGUCUUCGCUAUCUCUCUAAGCUUCAACAUCUUCCUCCACAUCCAUGAACCCACCUGAGAAUUUACUUUCACUUCUUAAAAGCUUCUCUUCUUUAACAAAUAUUCUUUAAUCCAUUUUCCCCAUAAAGAAUCUCCUGCAAGCAUCCACCAUAUAAGUUUCAAUCCAUACACCGUAUUCACCUCUUUCAAAGCUCUAACUCCAAGACCUCCUUCAUUUAAAGGUUUACAUAUCUCACUCCAAGCCACCUUAGCUCCUGAAGAUUUUAAAGCUGGUCCAGACCAUAGAAACGAUGCACACAGUUGCUCCACCUCCUUUAUACAUUUACUAGGUAGUCUAAAGACAGAAGCCCAAAAAUUAACAAUACUGACCAUCACUGAUUUUAACAGCUGAAGCCUCCCCGCAUAAGAAAGAAACCGAGACGUCCAAGAACAUAUUUUACUUCUGAUUCUUUCUAUCAACGGUAGAUAAUCAUGUCUUCUCAUUGAUUGAGUUAUAAGUGGCAACCCCAGAUAACGAACCGGUAGAGAACCCUCUGCGAAUGGAAAAUUUACCAAAAUUCUCCUCUUUUCGUCCUCUUGAAUACCAGCCAUAUAAACCGUCGACUUCUCAAUACUGAUACUCAGGCCCGACCAUUUGGCAAAACCAUCAAACACAGACAAUGCUCCCUCAAUAGACUCUUUCGUUCCUUCUACAAACACCAUUAGAUCGUCGGCAAAACAUAGAUGAGUAAGAGAAAGAUUUUUACUCUUAGGAUGAAACUGAAACUUCCUCUCAUGCACUGCCUUAUCAAUCUUCUGUGAUAACACAUUCAUACACAAAACGAAGAGAUACAGAGAGAGUGAGCAACCCUGCCUCAAAACCCUCUUGCUUUGGAAAUACCCUGCAAGCUCGCCAUUCACCUGAACCGAGAACGAAGGAGUUGAUAUACACAGCUUUAUCCAAUGUAUAAACCUUUCUGGGACCCCUAUUGCUUCCAGACUAUUGAGUACAAAACACCAUUGCACAGAAUCAAAUGCUUUCGAUAUGUCUAUCUUCAUCACACAUCUCGGCGAGACAGUCUCCUUUCGAUAUGCUCAGUAGCUAACAUGACAUUAUCCAUCAACAGUCUUCCUUUCACAAAAGCAGACUGACACUCUGAGAUGACACGGGGAAGGAUCAACUUGAGUCUGUUUGCUAAAUUUUUUGAAACAACCUUAUAGAGUACGUUACAGCAAGCUAUAGGGCGGUAAUCUCUCAUCUCUAGCGAGUCUGUCUUCUUUGGAACAAGUGCCAGGAUUGUGGAGUUUACUCCUUUGGGAAGAAACCCAAACCUGAAGACAGAUUGAACAGCUAUAGUAAAAUCUUGAGCAACAAUGGGCCAAGUUAUUUUGAAAAACUCGCUUGGGAAGCCAUCAGGGCCAAGCGACUUGUUAGAUGGCAUAGCAAAGACCACUUUACGUAUCUCCUCAGCAGUCACAUGUUCCUCCAACAAACUACAAUCCUCUUCAGAACAACGAAACUUUAGCAGCUCUUCUAAUUCUUCUGAAGUAGCACCAGUGUAAUUAUCAGGAAACUUAUUGAGAAACUCUGAAAAGAACCGGACUGCUUCUUCUUUAAUAUCCUUCGGCUUAGUAACCGAACUCCCGUUAGAACAUCUUAUCUCUCGAAUAGAGUUUUGCGCCUUACGAACUCUGAUGGCAUUAUGAAACGUCUUAUUAUUAUGAUAUCCCACGUCAAGCCAAUGAAGUUUUGCCCUCUGCUUCAAAAAAAUCCUCUUCUAGACUAGCUACAUGAAGCCAACGCUCAUAAGCCACUGCUUCCUCUUGUAUGGAACUUGCACUCGGAUCAUCAAGAGUCUUCUUUUGUUUCUCACAGAGGAACUCAUGAGCUUCUUUUGCUUUCUUCGAGAGCUCUCCCAGCUUCUCUUUACCAAGCUGACGUAUCAGAGGUUUUAGAUUCUUUAAUUUCUUCGAGAAUCUAAACAUAGCAGAGGUCGAGUGAAAUAGUAUAGGGGUUUGAUCCCAAUACUCCUUUACUAAUGGAAGAAAUCCUUCCAAUCUCCCAAUAACAUUUACGUAUUUGAAUGGCUUCCUCAACUUCUCUUUUGGAGGAAAUAGUUGAAUUUUACAUCGCAAGUGAUCAGAACAUCCCCCCGCUUCAAAAACUGAAUAAGCAUUUGAAAACCUCUGAAUAACAACAUCAUUUAUUAGCACCCUAUCCAAAUUCUUACAUAUGAAUCCCUCUUCUCUCUUGUUACACCAAGCAUAGAGCCCUGAUAACCCAUAUCAGAUAAGUUGCAAUGCAGAGCCACAUUUUGGAACUCUCUCAUACCUCCUGAUACCCUACCAUUUUCCAGAAACCCUGAACUCUCCUCGCCAUCCAAAAUCUCAUUAAAAUCUCCUACAAUCAUCCAAGCUUUACGACGGAACAUAGCAGAAUCUUGAUGGUGACAAAGAUCUUCCCAUAGUUCCUUCCUUUCCUCUGCCAAAUUAUUUGCAUAAACUCCAGUAUAAAAGAAAUCAUCCUUGCCUUGCAACCCCACAGAGCAAGUUAUAAGCUGAUCAGAUUUAUAAACUGGCGUCAUACAAACAUCAUCUCUCCACACUAGCCAUAUUCUCCCUCCCACACUGUAUUCAUAGUUAGUCAUAUAAGACCAACCCGGAAAAACUUUCUUCAAAAUACUACCCGCUUUACUCUCCUUUACCCUCGUCUCCAGAAUGCACCCAAAACACAUGUUAUUACGAUGAACCCACUCUUCUAUCACGAAAUGUUUUAAAUAUUUGUUGAAACCACGAACAUUCCAGAAGAAACUCCCCAUAUAUUAGUGCUUUCGUCGAGGCCGAAUGCUCUUCCCAGGAUUUGCAUCCGGAGCCUUAGCCUUUCGUCCUCUUCUCGACCCAACUUUUUUCUCCUCAAGAACUUGUUGAUCAAUGUCUUCUACCUGGUCACUCUCAAGUAACUCCAUUUCCUCAGUUUCUAAUUGAUCAUCAUCCACUACAGUAAGUAACUUCUCAUCUGCUAAUAACUCUCCCUCAUCUACAUCUUCAAGACUAAGCACAUAGAAUUUUGAUGCAGAGAUCUCAACAUCAUCUACUUUCUGAGCUGAUAGAACUAAAGAUCUUCCUGUUUUGGCUGGCGAAACCUUAGGCCACCCACUUGUACCGACACCAUUCUAUAACUUUUUAGCACCUCCUUCACUCUCUACCACAUCCAUAACUUUAUCACCACUUCCCUCCAUUAAGACACCUUCCUUCUCAUUCACUACACUCAGAUAACUAGGACUUUCAACUUUCUCCCCAUUAACCUUCGUAAUAGGGGAUCCAGUUUCAUUUCUCUUCUUUCCCUUGCUCUUCAUAGCACACACUGCUUCACUGUAACCCCAUUUAUCACAUAACUUGCAUCUAGCCGGUAGCCAUGGGUAGUAGAACUUAACAGUGAACUGCUUUCCCUCCUUUGAAAAUGUGAUCUCCUUUGGCAAAGUUUUUGUGACAUCAACUCUCACAAAUAUCUUCGCCUCAUUUAGAUUAGAACAAGCUAUGGUUUCUGGGUGUGGCUUCACUGGAAAGCAUACUGUACUGGUGAUAAAACUCAAUCCUUCCCACGAGUACAUGUGGAGAGGUACUUUCUCCAAGUGAACCCACAUAGGAAUGGCUUCUUCCUUCUGUUCUUCCCCUUCAGAUUCUGGCGACCAUUUCAACACUAACAUAGGAACCCCAAUAUUCCAUAUACCACGAUGAAGAACCUUCUCCCUUGCCUUCUGACUUGAGACCUUAAACCUCAUCGUCGUCGCAUCGUCGUCGCAUUAACUUCAAAUACUCCACGAGCUGUUCCAUGCGUGUUUUUGGGUUAUCCUCACGGUCAUAAAGGUUACAAGGUUUUAGAUUUGGAAACUAAUACUAUUUCUAUUUCUCGAAACGUUGUUUUCCAUGAAAAUAAGUUUCCUUUUGUUACAGACGCAAGUUCUUUAUCUCGUGAGCAAUCUUUCUUUGAUCAAGAUGUUCUUCCACUUCCUGUUCCAGACUCCUCUUUUCCUGCUUUCUUUGACUUAGGAUCUGACGUCCAUUCUUCGGUUUUUGUUGAUAAUACUGCUUCUUCUAAUGAUGGUGUUUCUUUGUCUAGUUCUCCUAAUCAGUCUGUUCCUCUAGUACCAUCAGAAACGUCUGUAAAAGAUACAACUAUUGGACCAAAUAUUUCUGAGACAAGGUCAAAACGAAAGACAAAGGCUCCAUCAUAUCUUGACAAGUAUCAUUGUUACCUCUUGAAUCAUUCAUCUGAACCUCCUCUUCACCCUAAACACACUACCUCUUAUCCUAUUUCUGCAUUCUUGUCAUAUGAUAAGUUUGAUCCUGGUCACAAGAAAUUCAUACUUUCCAUAUCCUCUCACAAACUUCCCAAAACCUUUUCUGAGGCUGUUCAAUCUGAGGAUUUUAAAAGAUCCAUGACGUCUGAGAUGUGUUCUCUUGAAGAAGCUGGGACUUGGUCUGUAUGUCAACUUCCUCCUGAUAAACAUCCAGUUGGUUGUAAAUGGAUUCACACUUACAAAUACAAUCCAGAUGGCACCAUUGAGAGAAGUAAAUCGCGUGUUGUAGCCAAAGGUUAUACGCAGUUGGAGGGAUUGGACUACUUGGACACAUUUUCUCCGGUUGCGAAGAUUGGUACUCUCCGUCUGUUGCUGAGUGUUGCUGCUGCCAAGAACUGGACCAUCUCUCAACUUGAUGUGAGUAACGCUUUCCUCAAUGGAGAUCUAGAUGAAGAGAUCUACAUGCGUUUACCUGAAGGUUAUGAGGUUAUUACUGGCAAGAAAGUAGCUCUUAAUUCUGUCUGCAAGCUCCACAAGUCCAUUUAUGGACUUAAACAGGCAUCACGCCAGUGGAAUCUGAAGCUUUCUCAAGUAAUUCUUGGUGAUGGGUUCUCACAAACUCACUCGGAUCAUUCAUUAUUCAUCCGCCACAUUGGGAAUGUCUACUUGGCGGUCCUUGUAUAUGUUGAUGACAUCUUGAUUGUUGGUAACAGUGAGAGUGCGAUUACAGCUUUUAAGGAUGUGCUGAAGUCUGCCUUUAAGCUUCGUGAUCUUGGCCCUGCAAAAUACUUCCUUGGCUUUGAGAUUGCGCAUAAUCACACUGGUAUCUCCUUGAACCAGCGGAAGUACACUUUAGAACUUCUGGAGGAAGCUGGUUACUUGGGAUGCAAACCAUUGUCUGUUCCUAUGGAGCCCAAUCUCAAGAUGUCUGCUUCUUCAGGUACAGCACUUCCUGAUGCAUCAGUAUAUCGCCGGCUUGUUGGACGUAUGCUUUAUCUUACUCAUACGCGUCCUGACAUCACUUAUGCGGUUCAUAAGUUGAGUCAAUACAUGUCUGCACCUACUGAUGUUCACCUCCAAGUGGCUCAUAGAGUUCUUCGUUAUCUGAAGAACGAUCCCGGUCAAGGCUUAUUUUAUUCUGCUUCUGCCUCGUUGAAGUUGACUGCUUAUUCUGAUGCUGAUUGGGCGGCUUGUCCUGAUUCUAGACAAUCGAUCACAGGUUAUUGCGUCUUCCUUGGAAACUCUCUGAUCUCCUGGCGUUCCAAGAAACAGCCCACAGUCUCUCGCAGCAGCUCUGAAGCGGAAUAUCGUUCCAUGGCUGACACCACUUGUGAGCUUAUCUGGCUCACCACUAUACUUCACGAGAUGCAUUGUGAUGUCAUUGCUCCUGCUACACUCUUUUGUGACAAUCAGUCGGCUCUCUAUAUAGCUUCGAAUCCGGUGUAUCACGAGAGGACCAAGCACGUCGAGAUCGACUGUCACGUAGUACUCGAGAGAUUGCAAAGUGGGUUUAUGAAGACUCUUCACGUCAAGUCUGAACUUCAACUGGCAGAUAUCUUCACAAAGGCUGUUCAGCCUGCUCUGUUUCGAAGUUUGGUCAGCAAGAUUGACAUCCACAGCCUGUGUCUUCCAUCUUGAGGGGAGGGUAUUAGAGUAUAAAGUCGGUUAAGAGUCAAUUAGAUUGAACCGGUGGUUAUGUGAUAUAAACCGGGUAGUAUAAAUACAUGAAGAUACAUUGUAUACGUUACAACAUAAUAUACAUUUUUACACUUUUGGAUCGUAACAAACUCUGAAUCAUCUUCUUGAGCUCAAGCUCUAAUAUUCUUCAACGAGAAAAACAUCGUCCCUAACAUCGUCUCAUUCAACCACGUGAUCAAAGCCUUUUGUGAGCUAGGCCGUGUCGACGACGCCCUUCAACUGUACCGUCACGCUGUUCCGUUCGGUCCCGACAAAGAGACGUUUAGGCUUUUGACUCAAGCCUUGGCCGACGCGUAUGGCUACCGGGAAGCUUCAUCCGUGAGAUUAUGUAUAUGCUCAACUAAUGAGUGGACGCCCAUGCUCGUUGAGAUUCGUGCGCGCUUGGAUCAGAUGGAUGCUGAGGAUGCUGAUGAUUACUUUCACAAGAAUAGGCUGAUAUACGAUGAUGAUUCCGAUUCGCCGGGAGUUUUCGCAUCGAUUGCUACGAUAUUUGUGGAAUAUUGGCUCAAACAUGGCAAUGAAAAGAAAGCUAUGGAGUGCUAUAGCUCUAUCCGUACUUGGGUAAGCGUAAGUGAACUAAAGGCUCAUACCUUGUUCGAAUACAUGUUGAAGAAAUCCAAACGUUUUGAUUCAGACACCAUUAACAUAAUGGUGGACUACUGGUUCGAGCUUGACGAGUUUAACAAGGCCAUGGAGACAUUCAACGAGUCACAACAACAGGGAAGAAAGAGAAUGGUUGGGUGUUAUAGUAACAUGAUCGCUAGGCUUUGCGAGCGUGGGAUGAUGUGGGAGGCUGAAGGUUUGUUUGAGGACAUGUGUUCAGACAAAGACUUGUCUCCUCCUCCUGAUGUGUCUACAUUCAGAUCCAUGGUCAAUGGAUAUGUUCGCUCGGGAAGAGUUGAUGAUGCCAUCAAAAUCUCGAACAAAUUAGCAAUUUUGAAACUGCGCAAGGUUUCCAUUUACGAGGACUGAUGUGUCUUUAAUUCCCUAUGAGUGACUUCUUGUCGCUUUUCUUAUUACCUUGCUGGAGCUUUUAGCUGUCUAUUGCUCUCAUCAUGCUUAUUGUACCAAUCUAUAUCAAUAAUAAUUUAAUUACUUUAGGUUCUAUAUCGACUUAUAUAUUUUCAAGGAGCCGAAACAUGUUUGUUUGAUAAAUUAAUUAAUCUUAUAUAUAUGUGAACCACUCGCUUAAAAAAACAAUUUUAAGCAAAUAUUUAAUUAUAUAAUAUUAAGACUUAAGAGUACUCUUUACUGUUCCGAAAGUGAAGAACCAAUAUAGUAAAUUCUUAAUUACAUAAAGUCUAAAUAUUGAUUACAUUUAAAGAAACAUCACUGAAAUAGUAAAUUUAUGUCUACGGAAUGAUAUUUCAAUGUUGAAUGGUUAAUGCUGAGCAUUGGUCCUAUUUUCUUCACAAAGUCCACCGUUCAUCUUAUCCUCUUCAUUUGGUCGUUGAUAGUUUUUGGUGUGAUAUUCCUCAUCACAAUUGCUGGAAUUAUGUCUUUCUUGCUGUUUCACAAUAACGAAUCCUAACGUUGGAGAACUAAUAUGAAACAUGAUCAUAUAUGAUGAACACUAACAGAGGAUAAAAGUAUUUGCCUAAACUCACAAGCUUUCAGAAAAAAACUAACUUGAGGCUAAUACAUCACAACAUUUCACAUGUUCAUUAAUAAACAUGAUAUGCAGCUGUAGAUUAAUUAUUAAACAAUAAUGGAAGGUGAUGUUUACCUUUGGUAUAGAUAGUUUCUCAUUUAGCUUCUUUUAAACCAGACCACGAUGUGUUAUCAUCCGCUGAUUACAAAUUCUACAAUGACUCGAGGACCAAGCACGUCGAGAUCGACUGUCACGUAGUGCUCGAGAGAUUGCAAAGUGGGUUUAUGAAGACUCUUCACGUCAAGUCUGAACUUCAACUGGCAGAUAUCUUCACAAAGGCUGUUCAGCCUGCUCUGUUUCGAAGUUUGGUCAGCAAGAUUGACAUCCACAGCCUGUGUCUUCCAUCUUGAGGGGAGGGUAUUAGAGUAUAAAGUCGGUUAAGAGUCAAUUAGAUUGAACCGGUGGUUAUGUGAUAUAAACCGGGUAGUAUAAAUACAUGAAGAUACAUUGUAUACGUUACAACAUAAUAUACAUUUUUACACUUUUGGAUCGUAACAAACUCUGAAUCAUCUUCUUGAGCUCAAGCUCUAAUAUUCUUCAACGAGAAAAACAUCGUCCCUAACAUCGUCUCAUUCAACCACGUGAUCAAAGCCUUUUGUGAGCUAGGCCGUGUCGACGACGCCCUUCAACUGUACCGUCACGCUGUUCCGUUCGGUCCCGACAAAGAGACGUUUAGGCUUUUGACUCAAGCCUUGGCCGACGCGUAUGGCUACCGGGAAGCUUCAUCCGUGAGAUUAUGUAUAUGCUCAACUAAUGAGUGGACGCCCAUGCUCGUUGAGAUUCGUGCGCGCUUGGAUCAGAUGGAUGCUGAGGAUGCUGAUGAUUACUUUCACAAGAAUAGGCUGAUAUACGAUGAUGAUUCCGAUUCGCCGGGAGUUUUCGCAUCGAUUGCUACGAUAUUUGUGGAAUAUUGGCUCAAACAUGGCAAUGAAAAGAAAGCUAUGGAGUGCUAUAGCUCUAUCCGUACUUGGGUAAGCGUAAGUGAACUAAAGGCUCAUACCUUGUUCGAAUACAUGUUGAAGAAAUCCAAACGUUUUGAUUCAGACACCAUUAACAUAAUGGUGGACUACUGGUUCGAGCUUGACGAGUUUAACAAGGCCAUGGAGACAUUCAACGAGUCACAACAACAGGGAAGAAAGAGAAUGGUUGGGUGUUAUAGUAACAUGAUCGCUAGGCUUUGCGAGCGUGGGAUGAUGUGGGAGGCUGAAGGUUUGUUUGAGGACAUGUGUUCAGACAAAGACUUGUCUCCUCCUCCUGAUGUGUCUACAUUCAGAUCCAUGGUCAAUGGAUAUGUUCGCUCGGGAAGAGUUGAUGAUGCCAUCAAAAUCUCGAACAAAUUAGCAAUUUUGAAACUGCGCAAGGUUUCCAUUUACGAGGACUGAUGUGUCUUUAAUUCCCUAUGAGUGACUUCUUGUCGCUUUUCUUAUUACCUUGCUGGAGCUUUUAGCUGUCUAUUGCUCUCAUCAUGCUUAUUGUACCAAUCUAUAUCAAUAAUAAUUUAAUUACUUUAGGUUCUAUAUCGACUUAUAUAUUUUCAAGGAGCCGAAACAUGUUUGUUUGAUAAAUUAAUUAAUCUUAUAUAUAUGUGAACCACUCGCUUAAAAAAACAAUUUUAAGCAAAUAUUUAAUUAUAUAAUAUUAAGACUUAAGAGUACUCUUUACUGUUCCGAAAGUGAAGAACCAAUAUAGUAAAUUCUUAAUUACAUAAAGUCUAAAUAUUGAUUACAUUUAAAGAAACAUCACUGAAAUAGUAAAUUUAUGUCUACGGAAUGAUAUUUCAAUGUUGAAUGGUUAAUGCUGAGCAUUGGUCCUAUUUUCUUCACAAAGUCCACCGUUCAUCUUAUCCUCUUCAUUUGGUCGUUGAUAGUUUUUGGUGUGAUAUUCCUCAUCACAAUUGCUGGAAUUAUGUCUUUCUUGCUGUUUCACAAUAACGAAUCCUAACGUUGGAGAACUAAUAUGAAACAUGAUCAUAUAUGAUGAACACUAACAGAGGAUAAAAGUAUUUGCCUAAACUCACAAGCUUUCAGAAAAAAACUAACUUGAGGCUAAUACAUCACAACAUUUCACAUGUUCAUUAAUAAACAUGAUAUGCAGCUGUAGAUUAAUUAUUAAACAAUAAUGGAAGGUAUUGCUAUAAACAAUAUGAAGUUGUAUUAAUAAUACUCAAAAACCAUUGGUUAUAACUAUACGCAGUUGUAUCAAAUAAAAAUAUGGAGCCAUGUAUUAAAACCGUAGGUUAGAAAUCAAUACUAACAUUUUAAUGAAUGAACUAUACUAAAACAUUUUGUUUUUUUUUUCUCACAUAACGUUGAUGACAUGUGAAACAAAUGAUAUAAAAUCAAGCAAAUACAAAAUAUAACAUACUGAGCAUCAGCUUAUAAACAUCAACAAGAUGAUUGAUCAAAUGAUUUUUUUUAUUUGGAACAAAGCCAAAUCAGUAUUGUCAAUUAAGCUCCUAAUCUUAUAUUAUGUAUCCACUCUUACAAACCAUGAAUUGAUAAUAAACAUCAUUCGAAAAAGGAUUAGAUAUAAACUAAAAAUAUAUAUAUAUAUAUAUAUAUAUCUAUUAGCUUACAAUCGUUAGAGCUUCGUGUUGAUAAUGUGUUUUAACUAAAGAAGAGAAAAGAAGAGAAGAGAAGAAUUUAUAUGUCUUAUUUCAUCAAUAAUAAACUCCUUAUAUGUAGAUACAAUAUGAAAGUUUAACUUGAAAACCAAAUCUCAAACUGGUAAUCAUUCAAGAAAUAAGAGGAAUAAGAAGAAAAUGAAUAAUGAAGAAUUAAACAAAAUGAAAUUUGUUCCUUUCCUAAUUUGAUAAGAACUAAAUGUAGUCUAUUAUUCCUUAAAUAUGAAAGAAUGUUAAGAAAUCAUAAGUAAUAAAUAUUUUUUAUAAAUGGUGUAAAUUGAAAAGAAUGAUAAGCAAUAGAUUAUUUUCACCCAUUCCCUUGGUCACCGUUUAGAUACCAAGUACAAUUCAAAUUUGAUGAGCAAAACUUUCUAUAAACGACAUCACAAUAUUUAUAACAAAAAAUACAUUUUGAUAGAAGUUGUAAGAUUCGUUUUUUGUUUGUUUCACAUGUGAAAAAAUAGGAAUCUUAUGUUUGUUUAUUUUUUAUUUGUAUAGUAGGUGUUUGUCCGAAAUCUCGCGGAGAAUAGUAUUAUACUUAUGUUUACAAUGUUAUAAUUAUUGAAUAAUAAAUAUAAAUAUUAAAAUUUGAAAUUUUAGCCACAAAUAAUUUGAUAAUCAAAAAUUUCAACAUAUAUUUUUAGAAGAAUUGUGAAAUUUAAGUAAUUCAAAAACAUAAAUCUAAGUCACUAAAAAUCUUUUUUUUUCGUGCAUGAAAGAAAUAUUAUAAUUAGUUCAGGUAAGCUUUUCCAUUUUACUAAAUGGAAAACAAUUUAUAUAUCACACAUGCUAAUUAAUAGAGCCUUUUGAUUCUCCCUAUUUUGUUGGAAUUUUACCUGUUUUACACUAAAGCCCACUUCAUCGUUUCAGACCUCAAUUCAUUAGUUUUUCUGAUUCUCUACCAAACCUAUUACUAUCCUCCAUAUGAAUUUGAUCACACAUGCUGUGUUGAGUGCCUCGAUCGUUUCCUUUUUUUUUUUUUUAUUAAAGCACUGGCGCUUACAUGCAUGCAUGCUUACAGCACACAUUGAUCUUUUACUGUUUCUAUUUUGCCGUAGAUAAGAACAUCUGAUAAUAAUGGCCAUGAUGGAGCAAUCGAACCUGAGGAUUACUACGCUGACAAUGGAGAGGCCCCCAGUCUGCGUAUAUUUUCUUAAUUGGACUUUGCAACCGAGGUGACCAAUGCCUGUUCUCUCAUACUCUUCAGUCAACAAUACCAGCCUGCAGCAAAUUCGCAGGUUUGUUUUGUUUACCGUCCUAGUCAGACAGGUUGUUAUACCUCAACUAAUGAGAGUCGGGUUUUGCAGCGACGGAGAAUCUUGUAUGUUUUCACAUGUCAAUGCGAAGACAGACCACACCACACUAUUCUCCUUCCACAUCGCCACUCCAACUUCUUCUGAGGGUUACAUUCUCUCGUAUUCGAUGACUCUGACAUGCAUAGUAUAGCCUCCUGGACAAAAUAAUCUCCACUUCAUCUUCUUCAGAGACGCUUUUCUGUGGUGGUGAUAUUCGUCAAUUGGGGACACAAGAAUCUUCUGGGGUCUCAGUCAUCCUUACGAAAAGCAGGAGAGGAGAAUGAAGUGACAUGCGUGCUGACAUGCAUAGUAUAGCCUCCUGGACAAAAUAAUCUCCACUUCAUCUUCUUCAGAGACGCUUUUCUGUGGUGGUGAUAUUCGUCAAUUGGGGACACAAGAAUCUUCUGGGGUCUCAGUCAUCCUUACGAAAAGCAGGAGAGGAGAAUGAAGUGACAUGCGUGCUGUGGUUCUUAAACCCAGACAGCUACGGCGAAACUCCUGAUAAACAGAAAGCAGUCACUACAAGAAAACAGCGUAAUUCUGACGGACAUUCUGACGGAAAAUGAGAUCUUCGGAAUAUUCCGACGAAUUUCCGAGGAAAUUCCGAGAAAACCCAAAAUUUGGGUUUUCUCGGAAUUUCUUCGGAAUAUACCGAUGAAAUACCGAGGAAAUCAUAUUCCUCGGAAAACACCGACGAAUAUCCGAGGAUAUAUUAUAGCCGUUAAAGAGCCGUUGGGGGAUUUUAAAAAUUCCGAGGAAAGAGCCGUUGCCGUCGGACAUCCAUCUCCUUUCAAAGAAACCCACAUUCAGAUAAGAGAAGAAAGAGGAAAACAAAGACAUAAACAGAGAGAUGCAGCUGCAUAUAUCUCCGAGCUUAAGACAUGUGACGGUAGUCACGGGGAAAGGAUUGAGAGAGUUCAUAAAAAAGAAGGUAGGGUUCUAGAAGAUUCUCGUAUCAGAUGAUGUUUUAAUCUCUGCUCUUCUUCACUUUUCUUCUCCGGUUCGUCUUCGUUCUCUCCACCGUUGAUACUAUCGACGGCGAUCCCUCUCCUUGAAUGUCAUAAUUGCAGACGUUUCUCAAAAUCAUCAAUUGAGAGGAGGAGUUAGACCGUGAGCGUUCACACAGCUAAGAAGAAGAAGAGUCAGCCACGAUAAUAAAUUAAUAACUUUCAUUGGAGAUUUGGUAUUGAUGAGGUGGGCUUCAUAUUGGCACUGGAUAUUAUUAAUGGCCCAAACGCCUGGCCCGAUUUUAUAUUAGUUGACUUAAAACUUCGUAUGACGUAGCAUAAUAAUGCUCUCUGAUUGGCUGAAUAUAUUAACUGACGUGGAUAGGUUUAGAGGGGAGGAUAUCCACCUUUUAGUAUAGUAUAGAUGUGAACCACUCGCUUAAAAAAACAAUUUUAAGCAAAUAUUUAACUAGAGGGUUUUUCCGGGCUACGCCCGGAUUUUUCCCUAUAAUAUUAUUAAAUUGAUUUAAACUUGCGUUUUUAGUAUUGAGUAGGGUUUUUUCUGGUGAGAUUGUAUUGUAAUUCUUUUUAUAUAUACAGAGUAAUGCAUCUCUUUUAAAAGGAUGGUUAUGGCUGAAGUUAUUGAUUCAACUGUUAUUAUAUAAUUUUGGUAAGUGGUGCUAUGAGGUUUGUAUAUCUGAAUUAUUAGUUUUUAUCUUAUUACUAUAUAAAUUAUUCUGUUGAACUUGUAUUAAUUUGCAUAUAUUUUUUUGUAUAUUAAGAAGUUUUUAUGUAAUACCAAAUAUCCUUCGAUAUUAUAAAAUAUGUUUACAACUUAUGAAAUAAAAAAUGAGUUUGAUAACUAACAAAGAACAUUAGCUUGAGCGAUGGUCUCCAGAACAACUUAAUGAUCGUAACAAAAAAAAGAAACAUAAAAGAAAAAGUGAUCAGUAUACUAUGUAAAAGCAAUAUGGCUAUAACUGAGUUUUAAUAAUUUGUUUGAAUAUUUUUUUCAUGUCUAUUUUGAUCUUAUAUAUGGUAUGAUAUAAGAAACAUUAAAUUGUAGCUCCGAUAACAUAUAUAGGUACUCGUAGCUAGUGAUGAAGAGAAUUGUAAUUUUCCUGCAGUAGUAAACUUGAAAUUAAUUCUCUAAACUAUAUUUGCGAAGUGAUUUUGCCACAUGUUUUCUCUACAAUCAAUUUCACAAAACAAAUAUGACAUGACUAAUGAAAUUGAUGACAUGGCUUCCAAGAAAAUAUGACAUAUAUAAUUUCAUUUAAUGUUGAUUUAUAUUUUUGGCAAACUUAUUAGAAUAUGGUAAUAAUUCAUAUAUUAUAUUUAAUAUUGAUAUUUCUUUUUGGCAAACUUUUUUAAAAUAUGGUAAUAGCUCAUACAUCAUCUAUAAAAUAAAUAUAUUCAUAUAAAACAUUUCAAAUUUCAAAAUAUUAUUAUUUUUGUAAUACUAAAGCUUUCAAAAUUUCUACAAUUUUUUAAAAAUUAAAUAAUAUCUAAUCGUAAGAUCAUUAGUUUUUUAUAUACCUACAAUCAUGCAAUGUUAUAACAUUUUUAUUAGUUUUAUACAAAUUGAUUGCCACAUGUCAUUUUACAAUCAAUUUCACAAAACAAAUAUGACAUGCCUACUAAAAUUGAUGACAUGGCUUGCGGCAAAAUAUGACAUGGAUAAUUUCAUUAAUGUUGAUUUAUAUUUUGGAAAACUUAUUAGAAUAUGGUAAUAAUUCAUAUAUUACAUUUAAUAUUGAUAUUUCUUUUUGGUAAUUUUUUUUAAUAUGGUAAUAGCUCAUACAUCUCCUAUAAAAUUAAUGUAUUCAUAUAUAACAUUUCAAAUUUCGAAAUAUUAUUAUUUUUGUACAAUUAUACAAUUUGUAUUACUAAAGCUUUCAAAAAUUUCUACAAUAUUUUAAAAAUUUAAAUAUCUAAUCGUAAAAAAAUUCUUUAUCGCACAUGGUGCAGGAAAACACCUAGUAAUAAAUCAAAAUUCAAUUUAAUAAAUAAAAUAAUAGUAAAAUUGCCACAGAUUUUAGGUCCUUGCAGUUUAGUAGUUGUAUUAAUAAUAAAUUAAAUAAGGAUCAGUGCCUUUAUAUAUUGUUGGGAUGAUGCUUGUGACGAUAAGAACAUGAAAUCUUCUAUCUCUCUUGGCUUGUAAGGAUCUAAAGUCUGCGGCUUGGUUGUAAGUAGCUUAUAUUAUUUGAUAAUUUAUUGGUCAAUGGUAAUCACAAAAUCAUAUAUUAAUGUCUUUCCUCUCCUAAACUCUGAACUAUUUACGUUUCAUGUCAUAGAUAUCAAAUAUACAAUAGAACCUGUUUCUGAAGACAUAAAUAAUAAACUGAGCAAUGUAAUUCUGAUGAAGCAGAGUGAUAAAACAGUAAACAUGAUUUUUAGCUGCUAAUCAUGCAAAGUAGAUAAAAUGUUUCAAGGAAAAAAAACACUGAAAAGCAAAAAAACUGAAAGGAAAUCAUAAGUCAAUACUUAAACUGAAAAAAGACUUAAACAUCAUUGAAGCAUGCAAUAAGUGAGAAGAUGAAUGGGAGCUCUACUUCUCACAUCUUGGGCGCUUAGCUUUCGCUGGCCCAUCACUUGCAGAGUUCCUCUUACUCUCCUCAUCUGCAGAAUCUCCACGCCUGUUCGAAGGUUCACACACUUCAUUUCCAAGAAAAUAAUAUAACUGCAGACGUAAUCUUUUUAAAUUAUCAUAUAAUUUGACAAUAAUCUCUUCCAAGAAAAUAAUAUAAUUUCCUCAACGUUACAUGUUUAUUUAUUUAUCUAUACUAAGCUUUCUUAACUACCCAACAACUUCAACUAAUGUAAAUAGAGAUCCAUACUUGCUUUUAGCUGCAUUAGUGUGGAAGGAGAGGUUUUAUGUUAAAAUAAAAGUUAAAGAUCGAGAGAUAGUAAGAUGGAGAAUCAAAGUUGGUCAGAUUGGUGCAUUCAUCCAACUAAAAGACAGACGAAACAAUGAUUGCAAGUGAAACUACUCUAGAUGUUUACCUUUGGUAUAGAUAGUUUCUCAUUUAGCUUCUUUUAAACCAGACCACGAUGUGUUAUCAUCCGCUGAUUACAAAUUCUACAAUGACUCCAGCUAUCUUCUCCACAAAACACUCUUUCAUAAUCUGGUAUCUGCUGUAUAGAAAAGUGUAUUGUUAUUUCAUGAACCUAACUACCCAAAACAUCAACGAAAAUGACAUGAACUUAUAGCAUUAUUACCUCUAACGUACUGACUCUGAGAUUGGUUAGUGACGUCUCUUCCUCGAGUUUUUACUGUUUUCUUUAUUACCUUGGCGAGCCUUUUCUUUUCAAUACUACCAUGCUUUGAAGUUCAAGACACGUAGCUUUAUGUCAAAGAAACAAAUACAUUUUAACUAAUGAUCAGUCAUGGAUGAGUCUUUUGAUACAGGAAGUCAAAACACUCUAAGCAUUUGGAAAAAAAAGGGAUCAAAUAUUUAGGGUGUCAAUGAAACUUACCGGCUUGGAUAAUCAUAUGAGCAUCACCCAUCUUAUACUCAAGUGCUCCUGUUUAAAAAAAAAAUAACAUAAAAACGUGAGGAGAGAAAUAGCUCCGACCAAACUCAUCGAUCCAUUAUUAAUCACAUUUGAAUCACCUAAAUUACACUGUCAGCAACAAUAACAUCAACCGAACCACUUCGGAUUGAAGUAUCCGCACGACUAAGGGCUUGUUCGCGCCAAUUAGGCUGUGAUAGAAGUAUAUUUUCUGUAUUUAUACAGAUUACCCUAGCAAGUGGCGAGUCAAUAGAAUGCUCAGCAUGUACAAACACACAGGUCCCUGUACGCGAAGAUACAUUUUUUAAGAAAAGUCAGACCUUUUGAAUCCAAUAUCGUUCAGUAAAGAACAUAGUCAUAGAGUUGAAGAAAUAAACAAUAACCCCUUGUUUCUAUGCUUAAUGCUUCAGCCCGUGUUGUUUUCUUCAAGACCCUACAACACCCAAAUCUGAGACCAGUAAUAUCUCUACAUUAACAAAGGACACAUUUUUUUUUUUUUUGAAGUAGUAUAACUAAGAGAUGUCUACCCUGGGAAGGCCACCAACUACUAUUGCUGCAUCGAGAGCAAAAGAUCCGGUAAAGUAUAAUGUGACAUCUAGGAGAAACCUGGAGGUAAAAGGAAUGAAUCAAUCUCUUCUGGUGUCAAUGGUCGACAUCCUCUGUUUCUUAGCUCUCAUCUGUUAACCGUGAAUCUUGGGCUCUUCCUUGCCAAAUCACCUGAGACAAAAUGAACAACGGGAAAUCAGAUACGAUCUGCCAUUAGUAACCUAAACACAAAGCAAGGUUAGGUGAAUGACAUAGACCCUUUUGAAUAAUCAAACAAUACAUAACAACGUAAGAUCAAUAUUUCCUCUUCGGACAUCCAUCUCCUUUCAAAGAAACCCACAUUCAGAUAAGAGAAGAAAGAGGAAAACAAAGACAUAAACAGAGAGAUGCAGCUGCAUAUAUCUCCGAGCUUAAGACAUGUGACGGUAGUCACGGGGAAAGGAUUGAGAGAGUUCAUAAAAAAGAAGGUAGGGUUCUAGAAGAUUCUCGUAUCAGAUGAUGUUUUAAUCUCUGCUCUUCUUCACUUUUCUUCUCCGGUUCGUCUUCGUUCUCUCCACCGUUGAUACUAUCGACGGCGAUCCCUCUCCUUGAAUGUCAUAAUUGCAGACGUUUCUCAAAAUCAUCAAUUGAGAGGAGGAGUUAGACCGUGAGCGUUCACACAGCUAAGAAGAAGAAGAGUCAGCCACGAUAAUAAAUUAAUAACUUUCAUUGGAGAUUUGGUAUUGCUGAGGUGGUAUUAAGACUUAAGAGUACUCUUUACUGUUCCGAAAGUGAAGAACCAAUAUAGUAAAUUCUUAAUUACAUAAAGUCUAAAUAUUGAUUACAUUUAAAGAAACAUCACUGAAAUAGUAAAUUUAUGUCUACGGAAUGAUAUUUCAAUGUUGAAUGGUUAAUGCUGAGCAUUGGUCCUAUUUUCUUCACAAAGUCCACCGUUCAUCUUAUCCUCUUCAUUUGGUCGUUGAUAGUUUUUGGUGUGAUAUUCCUCAUCACAAUUGCUGGAAUUAUGUCUUUCUUGCUGUUUCACAAUAACGAAUCCUAACGUUGGAGAACUAAUAUGAAACAUGAUCAUAUAUGAUGAACACUAACAGAGGAUAAAAGUAUUUGCCUAAACUCACAAGCUUUCAGAAAAAAACUAACUUGAGGCUAAUACAUCACAACAUUUCACAUGUUCAUUAAUAAACAUGAUAUGCAGCUGUAGAUUAAUUAUUAAACAAUAAUGGAAGGUAUUGCUAUAAACAAUAUGAAGUUGUAUUAAUAAUACUCAAAAACCAUUGGUUAUAACUAUACGCAGUUGUAUCAAAUAAAAAUAUGGAGCCAUGUAUUAAAACCGUAGGUUAGAAAUCAAUACUAACAUUUUAAUGAAUGAACUAUACUAAAACAUUUUGUUUUUUUUUUCUCACAUAACGUUGAUGACAUGUGAAACAAAUGAUAUAAAAUCAAGCAAAUACAAAAUAUAACAUACUGAGCAUCAGCUUAUAAACAUCAACAAGAUGAUUGAUCAAAUGAUUUUUUUUAUUUGGAACAAAGCCAAAUCAGUAUUGUCAAUUAAGCUCCUAAUCUUAUAUUAUGUAUCCACUCUUACAAACCAUGAAUUGAUAAUAAACAUCAUUCGAAAAAGGAUUAGAUAUAAACUAAAAAUAUAUAUAUAUAUAUAUAUAUAUCUAUUAGCUUACAAUCGUUAGAGCUUCGUGUUGAUAAUGUGUUUUAACUAAAGAAGAGAAAAGAAGAGAAGAGAAGAAUUUAUAUAUCUUAUUUCAUCAAUAAUAAACUCCUUAUAUGUAGAUACAAUAUGAAAGUUUAACUUGAAAACCAAAUCUCAAACUGGUAAUCAUUCAAGAAAUAAGAGGAAUAAGAAGAAAAUGAAUAAUGAAGAAUUAAACAAAAUGAAAUUUUGUUCCUUUCCUAAUUUGAUAAGAACUAAAUGUAGUCUAUUAUUCCUUAAAUAUGAAAGAAUGUUAAGAAAUCAUAAGUAAUAAAUAUUUUUUAUAAAUGGUGUAAAUUGAAAAGAAUGAUAAGCAAUAGAUUAUUUUCACCCAUUCCCUUGGUCACCGUUUAGAUACCAAGUACAAUUCAAAUUUGAUGAGCAAAACUUUCUAUAAACGACAUCACAAUAUUUAUAACAAAAAAUACAUUUUGAUAGAAGUUGUAAGAUUCGUUUUUUGUUUGUUUCACAUGUGAAAAAAUAGGAAUCUUAUGUUUGUUUAUUUUUUAUUUGUAUAGUAGGUGUUUGUCCGAAAUCUCGCGGAGAAUAGUAUUAUACUUAUGUUUACAAUGUUAUAAUUAUUGAAUAAUAAAUAUAAAUAUUAAAAUUUGAAAUUUUAGCCACAAAUAAUUUGAUAAUCAAAAAUUUCAACAUAUAUUUUUAGAAGAAUUGUGAAAUUUAAGUAAUUCAAAAACAUAAAUCUAAGUCACUAAAAAUCUUUUUUUUUCGUGCAUGAAAGAAAUAUUAUAAUUAGUUCAGGUAAGCUUUUCCAUUUUACUAAAUGGAAAACAAUUUAUAUAUCACACAUGCUAAUUAAUAGAGCCUUUUGAUUCUCCCUAUUUUGUUGGAAUUUUACCUGUUUUACACUAAAGCCCACUUCAUCGUUUCAGACCUCAAUUCAUUAGUUUUUCUGAUUCUCUACCAAACCUAUUACUAUCCUCCAUAUGAAUUUGAUCACACAUGCUGUGUUGAGUGCCUCGAUCGUUUCCUUUUUUUUUUUUUUAUUAAAGCACUGGCGCUUACAUGCAUGCAUGCUUACAGCACACAUUGAUCUUUUACUGUUUCUAUUUUGCCGUAGAUAAGAACAUCUGAUAAUAAUGGCCAUGAUGGAGCAAUCGAACCUGAGGAUUACUACGCUGACAAUGGAGAGGCCCCCAGUCUGCGUAUAUUUUCUUAAUUGGACUUUGCAACCGAGGUGACCAAUGCCUGUUCUCUCAUACUCUUCAGUCAACAAUACCAGCCUGCAGCAAAUUCGCAGGUUUGUUUUGUUUACCGUCCUAGUCAGACAGGUUGUUAUACCUCAACUAAUGAGAGUCGGGUUUUGCAGCGACGGAGAAUCUUGUAUGUUUUCACAUGUCAAUGCGAAGACAGACCACACCACACUAUUCUCCUUCCACAUCGCCACUCCAACUUCUUCUGAGGGUUACAUUCUCUCGUAUUCGAUGACUCUGACAUGCAUAGUAUAGCCUCCUGGACAAAAUAAUCUCCACUUCAUCUUCUUCAGAGACGCUUUUCUGUGGUGGUGAUAUUCGUCAAUUGGGGACACAAGAAUCUUCUGGGGUCUCAGUCAUCCUUACGAAAAGCAGGAGAGGAGAAUGAAGUGACAUGCGUGCUGACAUGCAUAGUAUAGCCUCCUGGACAAAAUAAUCUCCACUUCAUCUUCUUCAGAGACGCUUUUCUGUGGUGGUGAUAUUCGUCAAUUGGGGACACAAGAAUCUUCUGGGGUCUCAGUCAUCCUUACGAAAAGCAGGAGAGGAGAAUGAAGUGACAUGCGUGCUGUGGUUCUUAAACCCAGACAGCUACGGCGAAACUCCUGAUAAACAGAAAGCAGUCACUACAAGAAAACAGCGUAAUUCUGACGGACAUUCUGACGGAAAAUGAGAUCUUCGGAAUAUUCCGACGAAUUUCCGAGGAAAUUCCGAGAAAACCCAAAAUUUGGGUUUUCUCGGAAUUUCUUCGGAAUAUACCGAUGAAAUACCGAGGAAAUCAUAUUCCUCGGAAAACACCGACGAAUAUCCGAGGAUAUAUUAUAGCCGUUAAAGAGCCGUUGGGGGAUUUUAAAAAUUCCGAGGAAAGAGCCGUUGCCGUCGGUAUUCCGUCGGAAUUUCCUCGGUCUGUCGGCAGGAUUUCGUUAUGAUUUUUCAUCAAACAGGCUAGUUGUAGCUUUUGAGUUAAUGGUCGAUGCUUGUCUUAGGUAAGAUUUGACCCGGUUGAUUAUUUGGAGUGAGGGGACAAUGACGACUUGAACUCGCCUUGAGUUUUUAAAAGGUAUGAGUUUUAUGAGAAGAGUAGAACUUGUCAUCUUAGACAUGCUUAGGUUUUUCUGCGUUAAAUUUUGUUCCUUUCACGCAAUAGAGAGGAGGUAUAUAUCAAGGUUCUAAAAAUCGGUCUAGGCGGCGCCUAGGCCCCCGCCUAGGCGGUAACUCGGUCCUAUCCGAAACGAUUUUUCAAAAAUACGAUUUAUAUGAAUUAUAUCAGUUUAAGUUGUUCUAAAGCGGUUAAAAUCGACCUAAAUUGGUCUAAAAUGUUAAAUUAAACAAUAAUGUUAGUAUAAAUCAACAGAACUUUCUAAUUUAUUUUGUUUUGUAUAUCUAUUUUUAAUAAUUUAUCACAAUAAUUUUAUAAUUAAAAAUCAAAAACUAAAUAUUUCAUAUAAAUAUAAAAUAAAUCAAUAAUUCGUUAACGCUUAGGCCUCGCCUAGACCCCGAAUAAUCCGCCAAGGUGUUAGUUCUCAAUAAAACGCCUAGUUACCGCCUAGAGAUUUCUUGAACAUUGGUAUAUAUAGUUUAUUUCCGAGAUAGCCUAGGUUAAAUAGGAUAUUAUGAGCAACUCGAUUAUCAGUUGAGAAUAUAGGUAUUUGAAUUAAGUAAUACUUAAUUACUUAUCCCUUUUAGAUCAAAUCAUCAUAAUUAUCAGAAUAUUCUUUUGCAAGUUCGUAUGUAGAGUGUUAGUUAUAUUCUUAGAUUGCAUAAUAAUAGGAAACUGUUUAAGAAUAUUAUCAAUGUUAGGAAUCAAAAAAGGUCAAUUUGUUUUGAUUUAGUGCACCGGUAAUAUCUAAUAAUAUAUUUGGUUGAUUCUGUAGAUCAACAUAUAACCAAUGAUUUUUUUUUUUUUUGUAACUAAACCAAUGAAUAUUUUGUACCGAAACAUGUUUGUUUUUUAUUUCUGCAGACCAAACUAAACCGAGAGUGACUCUUGAAGGUAUUGAAAAUUUGAAGACUAACAUAGCCGUGAUUCAGUGCAACCUUGAGAAGAUAUUUCCUCCCUCAUUUUUUGAUGUUAUGGAGCAUCUUGUUAUUCACCUGGCAAGAGAAUUGGAACUUGGUGGUCCUGUGCAGUAUAGAUGGAUGUAUCUGUAUGAGCGGUAUAUGUUCCAUUUGAAGAAGAUGGUGAAAAAUUUAAGUAGGGUGGAAGGUUCUAUAGUCGCACAGAUGAUCAAUGAAGAAACUUCAAACUUUGCCGAGUACUACUUUCCAGCAGAAGUUCAGACCAAAAAAGAAGACCUGCUCGGCAUGAUGAUAGAGGCGAACGGGCAACAUAUCAUGUUACGGUUCCAGACAUUUUCACAGACGUUGGACGACUUAGCGGAAAACCAAAGGACCGUCGACUUACUGAGCAGGAGCGCAGUCAUUUGCAAACAUAUUUGCUCACCAACUGCGAAGAUGUUCUUCAAUAAGAGAGGUAAAUAAAUUAGCUUACAAAUUUUUAUUUUAACAAGUUGAAAUUUAAAUCUUAAUUAAUUAUAUUAUUGUCAACAUAUGUACAGGAUUUUCAUGGCAGAAAAGCGGUUCGAAUAUAGAUAAGCCACAGAGGAGAAACUUGAAGAACUGAAGCAGAGAGAAUUUUCUGGAUGGAUGCUUACUUAUGUGAGUGCUUUAAACAAAUUAAAAUAUUAUUUAUCACAUAUUUAUACUAAUUCACAUAUAUUGAUAUAACAUAUAUAUGUGCUAUUAAUAGGUGUCUGCUGGUAUGACCAGAGGUGAAAUAUUUGACGAUUGGAUACGCGAGAUGGUGCGUGGACCAGUUGUGAAGUCAUAUCCGAGACAUUCUCUCGUAUUCGAUGACUCUGACAUGCAUAGUAUAGCCUCCUGGACAAAAUACUCUCCACUUCAUCUUCUUCAGAGACGCUUUUCUGUGGUGGUGAUAUUCGUCAAUUGGGGACACAAGAAUCUUCUGGGGUCUCAGUCAUCCUUACUAAAAGCAGGAGAGGAGAAUGAAGUGACAUGCGUGCUGUGGUUCCUAAACCCAGACAGCUACGGCGAAACUCCUGAUAAACAGAAAGCAGUUGUGUAGAAUUUCUUCGAGUACAUGGCAAUCAGAAUACUCGGCGAUGGUCUUUACGAUAUCCGAAUAGUUCUGACUAUGGACAACAUCAUAUUAACAAACUUGCAGGUACAUAUAUAUAUUUUGUCUUGUUAGCUUUCAGGUUCUCCGUUGUCUUGUUUGUGUCUACUCUGAUUAAUUUUUUUAUUGUUUUCAUAAGGUUGAGAAGCUAGCCAGAGAGAGCUUCUUCUUCCUUGGAGAGUCCUUCCCGCACAAUUCAGUGAGCUUCGGUGAAUUCUCAGACACAUUCACACUAUGCAGAAGCCUAUGCUAGUCUCUAGACCAGUCUCCUAAGUCUUUGAUCUCCAUCCUCCUACUGACACCCAGUUUGGUGAAUACACCCUGCUGGCCUUCACAAAAUCUCUUCACAACCAAUGACCUUAUCGUCGUGUUAGAAAUGGAAUCUACUUUUUUUUUUUUUUUGUCUCUGUCGUCUACUAUUAACCUAUAACCCUCUUUACCCAUUUUUAGAUGGCUUUACUUUUGUGAAUCUCGAAAAUGAAACUUGCUAAGACUAUCAAAUGUUUGCUCUGUGUCCUGAAAUGAUUUUGCUUUGAUCCAUGUUGCAUGCCUUAGAUAGUUAGAUUGAUCAAGUCAGCUUUCGUUUACUUUGUCUUGCUUGUAAACGAAUAUGGUUCAAUAGGAGAUAUAUACAUCAUCACUCAUUACCGUUUUUAUCAUUUCACAUAAAACAUAGAGAGUGGCAUUUUGACCAUCAUGAGCCAAAACUCUCCUAGUCAUUCAUUAGUAGCUGGAGCCUAGUUCUUGUGUACAGAUAAUAAUAUUACACUAGAUUUUGAUCCGCGCUUUGAAAUCGCGGAAUAACAUUUUAGUUAAAUUUUUUAUUUAAAAUUUAUUAAUUUUUCUGAUCUGAAUUUUAAUAUUUGAGUUUAAGAUAUUUAACUGAGAAUAAUUUAUUUUAACAUAUCAUAGUGAUGGACAUUCGGAAUUUAGGUUCAUAUCUUUAUUCAAUUUUCAAGUUAUUGGAGUUGGGGUGUUAAGACCCAUUUAUGAACCAUAACUUUUCGAAUCAGAGCGAUUCGGGUGAUGUUGAGUUCGAGUCAGAUUUUAAUUUUUUCAUAAAACCCGAAGUGAACCGAAUUAGAAAUAGUUUGGCUUUAUUUUGUGUUUAUUUGGGUUUAAAGCCAAAAAAUUCAAAAUUCCAAAAACUCUGAGUUAAACCUGAAAAACAGAUAAUUCAUGUAAUUUGGGGUUUUAGAUAUUUUUAUUAUAAAAUUAUAUUAUGUAUAUAUAUAAAUUAAUACUAUUAUGUUGAUUUUCAGUUUGGUUUUAGCUCUUUGGGUUUAGAGAAGUAGAAACCAUUCAGAUUUUUGUAUAUUUUUAUCCGGUUUUAGUUCCGAUUUUUUUAGUUUGUUUUUCAGAUAUUGGAUAAUAUGUCCAUGACUACCGUCAAAUUAGUUUUUUUUUACCUAUAUGUUAAUAUCUAUCUUACUAAAAGAUAAUCACUCAUGAUUUUCCUAAGAAUACCUUAUAAUAUUACUUUUGUACUAUUUAAUUUCGUUUAAAAGGAUAUUUGGUCUUUCACUAAAUAUAUUUUUAUCAUUUGUAAACUGAUUCAAUAAAUCAUUUAUGGAUUAAAUAUCAUACUUAACUUGCUAUAUCCAAGGGAUGUACAUAACAAAUGAACAUCAUAUACUGUGAAAAACAUUUUGCAGUAUAUACUCUUUCACAUUUUGCCAAUAUAGUUUGGGUUUACGAAGAGGUAAAUACCCAGUGCCGGUCCGGAUUGAUGUGGUGCCCAAAGCGGAACAAGAAAUAUAUUGGCCCAUAGUUAUAAUUUUUUUUGUUUACUCUAAGUAUUUUAAAAAGCAAAAAAAAAAUCUACAAGUUUAUCACUAUAAAUUAAAUUACAUUCAUAAUCCUUGAACAAUAAAUAUUAAAAGAAGAUAUAAAUUAGAUAAUAGAAUAAGAUAUACAUAUCUUAACAAAAACAAACAAUUAGACAACAAUUAUAGCAGCAUCAAUUCUAGUUGGUAAAAUUUUAUUACGUUUUUAUAGUCUCUCAGCAAUGCUAAAUUCAUAUUCUGAGAUUCAAAAAAAUUUCAAAAAGAAAAAAUAGAGGAGAAUGAAAAUGAAACUCAUAUGCAAUUAGAAAAGGAGAAUGAAAAAGAUACAUGUAGUAAAAGUUGACAAAAAAAUAAUGAAAAAUAAUGCGGAGAAGUGAGGAGAUAAGUGUCAAUUGCUAAGGUAAAGAAAAUAAUUACUUUUAUUUAGUUUCCUUAUUUAUUUUAUAACAUGUAUAAGUUAAUGUCGUUUACUAUAGUUCCUAUUAUUUAUAAGGAAAUUAAAGUUAUUAGAAAAAGGUAAUCAAAAUCUUUACUGAUCAAGUCUUCUUUUUAUUUAUUGCCAUUAACGAAAGGGAAAAAAUGAAGGGAGUCUGGUUAAAUUCAGGUUCGAACCUGUCUUUACAGGUUAAAAGAAACAGUUGAUAAACCACUACACUAAAGGAAACCUUUAAACUUGGUGCCCCAAAUACUUAUAUAUAUUUUGGUGCCUAAAGCUAUUGCUUUAUGGGCUUUAGCCCAGGGCCGGGCCUGUAAAUACCUUACUUCUUUUUGUUGUUAUCACCUUGUUUGAUUGCUGGAAUGGUUAGUAGCUUUAGUAGUUAGAAAACCAUUAAAAUAUUUGAACUUUGGACUUAUUUGAUCAAUCUCUAGAGAGAUUGGGGGAGGAAAAAUGUGUAGUACACUACAAGAUCAGUUUCUCAUAUUUGCUGCAGGCGGACUACGGAGAACAUCUGAGCUACCAAGAAGCUGUUGACAACCACCCACGAAAUGUGUGCGUUAGACCCAAUUUCCGCCAAGUAUAUAAUCUGAAAACGGGUUGACUGAAGAAGCUUUAUUAUUUAGCUCCAAAGAUUUGUCAAGGGAACCAAGUCUCACCAGGUUAAACCCUAAACUUUAUUUUCUACUGCCACCAGAUUGUAAUCACUUUGUCCAAAUUACUAACAUUUUUCUAGAGACAUGUAUGAUGUUUUGCUCAACAUAAACCAUUCCUGUCCUUUGAUUUCCACGAGACUGCUAUUAUAGCGAUCUCUGAAGACCCAGACGGUCAUGCUAUGUUGGGAAUGUCCUAAAAUCAUUUGUACUUACUCUAGUUAUAGUCGUAACGUCGAGAUUCGACAGUCGUAUAAUAUUAGGUGGUUAUAAUGUCUUCCUAGAAACCACUUAUAAUCUAUGAAUUGAGAAUUCAUUGCUAAUAUUAUAUGAUCCUAUAGGGUCACACACCUAAGCAAACUAGAUCAAUAAUAUUUUAGGUUUAAAGUAAUAUGAUAUGUACAAUAUAAAAUGUUAUAUGUAUAUAUGCAUAUGUGUUAUGCUCGUUUGCAAUUACACGAGAAGAAUGAUUAAUGUAAUCUCUUCAUAGAUUGGGCUAAGCCCAUUAACCUUUAAUUAAGGUUAUUGUACGUGUAUUAUAAAAGGCACAAGGUGUUGUGUUAAUAAGGUGCAGAGACAUAAGCCGAAACCUAAAAGAAAGAGAAUUAGAGACGAACCGUUCGUUGUCAAGUUUUUCCGGCACUAGCAUCCCGUAUCGAUCUAGUUUGUGUGCGUGUGUAUACCGAUAGAGGCACGACGUUUGGAGUGCUUGAAAUCUCGACUUGGUUUAUUCAUCUUUCCGCUGCGAAUAACCAGGUAUAUUCGGAACUCUAAGAUCUAGAUUCAUUUCAGUAUUUGCAUGAGAUCUAGGCAAACUAAAUUCAUAGGUGGAUUUAUAAAUUGUUAUAAACCGGUAUGAAUUCUAACAGUGGUAUCAGAGCCUACUUGUUUAAUAUUGAAAUUUGAUCUUGUUUAAUCUAUAAUUUGAUAUAGAUAAAUAAUUCCAAUAAUUUGAUAGUUUGAAUUUGAUGUAUUCGAUAUAAACCCUAAUUUGAUUAUGGUAUUGAUCGAUUUCUAAAACUAUAUAUUUGGAAUUAUUAGAUAAAGAUGUACGUAUUAAUUUAUUUGCUAAGGAAUAUUGAUUUUAGGAAAAUUCAAUAUUACAUAUUAAUACGGCAUGAAUGGGAUAAGUAUGUUUGAUGUGAUCAUUCGAUAUUUAUGCAAUUAGUAUAUUCCUUUUAUACGGUUUAUUAUAUUAUUAUGCAUUAUUUGCCUGUGAUAUGCGUAUUAAAUAACUAGCCAUAAAACAUUAUUGUAAUGUUAUGAAUCCAACGCUUAAAUUAGUACAAGUAUUUCACUCGUGACAUGUGAAACCAAUUAUACCAGCCGGUUCAGUUUUAUCGGUUGUAAAUUGGUUUGGUUCAUUCGAACACAUGUUUAAUCUUUCAUUUAAUUAGAAUACUAAUAUGAUUAGAUUCUCAAGAUUAAAUUAAAAUUAACGAUGUAAAAAUAAUUUUAAAAUACAUAUAAGAUAUGUAUAGUUAUAUUUAUAUUUUAUAUUUGAUAUAAAUUUUAAAUAUAAAAUUAAAAUUGAAUUAAAUUUGUUCCUCAAUUAAUUUCAAGUAUUUUCGAUGUCUGUCCAAUCUUAUCAACUAUCAAGGCUCGUUUCGUUGUAAGAUGGGCUUGCCAAAGUAAGGUGUCUGCAAUUACAUGAGUGAGGUGGAUGGUAACGGUUACCAUCCACAUUAAGAUUGGUUUACUUGACUAGGCUAUCAAAACGGUUUUGGGCUUAGAGACAUAGGUUGGAUAAGACAUAAGAUGUCAUCUGACAACCAAGAAUUAUAUUGGAUAUAAUUAGUAAAGUGUUGCUUACCUAAAUAGCUAUACAUUCGGGCGAUGAGCCAAAGCUCACUCGGAUUUUAGUGAAAUAUGGAUCUUGGAUAUUAUAUUCAGUUUGAGGAAAAUGUUUUGAAUAUAAUAUGAGUUUUCUUAAUUGUUAAGAUUUCUCUAAUUCCUGAACAUCAUAUUAAUAUUCGUUAUUCCUCUAUUCCAGCAAUGUUAACUCCUCACAACCCAUUUUCGUUCCAAUAUGCCCUUAAGAAGGACAAAUUGAAUGGAUCAAAUUUCCUUCAAUGGUAUCGAAACCCGAGAAUUGUUCUCAAACAAGAGUUUAAACCCUACUUGGAAGAUCUGAAAAGGAAAAAGACUUUUGAAACAUCGUCUAAGGGUAUUUAUGUUAUAGAAGUAAAUGUUACUACUUCUGGUUCUACUUCUUGGGUAUUGGAUACCGGCUGCGGUGCUCAUAUUUGUACGAAUAUGAAUGGCCUAAGCAAAAGUAGAAUUUUGGAGAAAGGUCAAG